rnacentral:lncRNA from 1 species
UUUUUUUUUUUUUGUAUUUGAGGCAAUGAACAUCAUCUAUGUAUAUGACUAAUAUAUACAUAAGUUCUGAUAUGUUGUUAGAUGUGUAAUAAAAUGCCUAGUUGAUAUACAUCAUUUUUUUAUGUAUUGAUCAUAUGUGAGCUUAGUUGUUAGAUGUUGUUAGGUGUGUAAUGAAAUGCUAUUUGAUAUGUACUGUAUAUGUUUUGACCAUAUAGCCUCACAUAUAAUGUCUUUUUUAUUUUCAAUAGGGUCUGAAAUAUAGGAUAAAAAAUGUCCCUGCGCAUUCGUUGCAUUUCAAUAGUUAUUGAAAUCGAGAGUUUGGAUCACAUAUAAAUAAUUAUCUUGGUGAAGAAGUUCAAAAUCUUUUUCGUCAAAUAAUUUUUGGUUCCUUUCUAGACAUGCCUCAGUGUAACUUUCAGGGUCACAUUUUCAAAUGCUUACUUAUGCUUGAUGUAGAGCAAGAUAAUCCGGACGAAAUUCACAUUUACCUAAGAAAACUAUUCUCAAAUUUUCUAUUACUGAGUUUGCUAUAAUAUUCAGACUUAAAUGUAAAGGGAACAUCGAGGAUUACCUUUAUACCGAAUCAUCUAAACCCGUAUUAAUAGCGAAGAAUUUUUCAGACACAAAAAAAUCUGUCAAAAAAAUUAUUUUUGUACAGCGAUUCAAGUUGGGAAACUUUGACAACAAUACCGAUGCUUUGAAUAUGUCCAUACUUUACUUUAUUCAUACUUUUGUAUAUUCAAAAAUACGUGGUGUUAGUAUUAGCAGAUCGGAUUAUGUGAUGCUUGAAGAUGGAAGGUAGAAACAAUUUUAAUGGGGGAAGACUUCGUUUCAAAAGCUUAUUGCAAUGCAAAGACGGGAUUUCUUUGUUGAAAAACAGUAAUACUAGAUUGGGGGAAUGCCUCAUGUGCUGAAUGUUUAGAUGUAUGAAUGUUUUUCUGAGGUAGACAACAUGAUAGUUGAGCGUGUAAAAAAUAUAAUUCCAAGAACUUUUAACUGAAAGAUUGUUAGGAUUAAGGUCAAGUACGAGAAGUUCAUGAGUGAUAUGUUCAACAAGGUAAGUGUUUAGUACAUUAUUUCAAGUUAAUGUUCGUAUUUCACUCUGUUGACUUUAAUAGACUCUUAAUGUCAUCAUUUUUAUUGCUUAACAGUUUGUAUACAACAAUUUACAAUCAACUCGUGAAGAAGUGCAAAGACUUGAUUUGCUAAUAAGGGCAUUGAAUUGAAUGAUGUUGAAUCUUCAUUCUCACAUGAUACUUUUUUCGAUCGUAGUGGUAAAAGGCUUGUUGUUGACAUAUAUACACAUUCGAACUCCGACCUACAAGGUUAUGAGGAUUUCAAACAGUCCCACCACAAUUCUUAAAAAGAUAGGUCUGAGAACCAAUGAAUCAGCAUCACAAUCUACGAAGAGGAGGAGGACAGUUCGUUUUGAUGUUAAAACUGUCGAGAUGCAAGAUCGUGAGGAAACGCCAUCGACUGUUUCAAGAAAACAUAUGCCAAAAGAUAAAACACCAACUACUGUUUCAGAACGUGUUGAUGCAACAAAGACAACUCCAUCAUUAUCCAGCAAGUCUGUUCAUCAUGCUACUUCUGAUGAAAAGUGGGACGAGAUAAACUCGUUUUUACAGUCCUGUGUAAAUUUCUCUUAUGAUCAAUAGUAUAAAUUAAAUUAUGAAAACACUGAUGUUUCUUGUCUUUGUAUCUGCAGGUUGACAAAAAAUUCAACGUUCUUCACGAUCUAAUGAUUAAAUAACAUGAAGACUCAAACAACAAAAUGGAUAAACAACAUGUCGAACUCAUGCACAUGUUGAAACACAACAAACACACCGAUGAAAAGGUAAACUAAAUUGAAUUUACGUUAUAUAAUUAACGAAUUUGUUUAUAUUUGUAUUUUUUUCAUUUGUCUGAUUUAUAUUGUAUUUUGAAAAAAUUAUUGUAUAAGGUUCAUACACAUCAUAAAUUGUUAUAUGUAUUUUGAUUAUAAUUUCAUUUACAAUGGCUCACAUAUAUAUACUACUUCAAUAUACAAGCACUGAUUUGUGUAUAAUAGCACAUCAUUUGUAUAUUAUUAAUACAUGUAAACUGUGUUAUGUAUAUUAGAUAAUAUACAUAACUGUGUUAAUAUGCAUAUGAGAUGUCUUAUUUUAUUUUAUGUAUAUUAUAUAGCAUACAUAUGUAACAAAUAUAUAUUAGAUAAUAUAUAUAUUUGUUACAUAUGUAUAUUAGAUAGUAUAUAUAUUUGUUACAUAUGUAUGUUAUAUAAUAUACAUAAAAUAAAAUAAGAUAUUUCAUAUGCAUAUUAUCUAAACUUUUUUAGAUGUAAAGAAUGUUUUUGUUUUUAAAUUAUGAUGGUGAAGAAGCAAAUAUUUGGGCAGAAAAAGAAACAUUCAAUGUAAGUUCACGGUAGAAGCAUUUUAAGGUUAUUUAUGUCUAUUUCUUAGUUUAAAUCAAUAUUUUAAAAUUUAUUCUUACAUAAUUUUAUAACAAAAUCCACAAGAUCAUUAUGUGGAAGGUUCAAGAACGGAAGAUGUACCAUCACAAGAGCAGGUUGAUGAGAUGGAUAUUUUUCAAUAGUGAAAGACAAAAAAAGGGCUACUUUUUUUUAUAAAUAUGCCUUUUUGUUAUCCUACAUUGAUGUUAUGAAAAUUAUUAAUACACAUAUAUAAUACUAAUUUUAUUAGAAUGAUGAAAUGGGAGGUUUUAAAACAGGUGAUGCAUCAUCACAAAACAAUGUCGAAGAGAUAGCUAUUGCCACAAGCUUGAAAGACAAAGGAAAAAAGAUAUUUUUUCUUAAAUAAUUGCUUUACACAAAUUGUUUCAUAUAUGAAUUCAUCUUAACUUUUUUUUUUACUUUUAAAAAUUUAUGAUAUAUUUUUAGCUUAGUUUGUUGUGGAUUUUAACUGAUACCCCUGGUAGUUAUAUCAAUGUAUAUGUGAUAUGUAUAAGAUUAUAAUAUACAUAGUUCAUCAAAACGAGAAACCAUAUAAUACUCAUUUUAAACUUUUAAGUUGUUGGCGAUACUGAUAAAUACUUAGGCAAAGUGUUUGGUGACGAUAUAAUGGAGGAUGAUUUUUUUUUAUGGGAACAACAGUCUUAUACAAAAAUAAUUUGAGGUUAGAUAUCUCAGAUUUUAACUCUUAUAAUUAAAAUAAUAAACUGAUUUAGUUUUGUAUAUGUUAUAUCUACCAGAAUAUUGAAGGUUAUAGUGCGGAUAAUGAAAUUGUCACAUUAGAUGCUCUCAUAAAAGCUAUGGUAAAUCAAAAAUCGAAUUACACCAAAGUUGGAACAUCUGUUACAGUGAAUAUCCAUAAAAAAACAUCCGCUAAAUGUAUAAAGUACAAUAUACAUGUCAAAUAUUUUACACAUCACACUACUUUUACUAACGUGUUUAAACAAAACUAACACAUAAUAUUUACUAUUAGGAUGAUUACUCGAGUACAAUUUUAGAAUUUGCUCAAGACAAGUUAGACGCCAUAAUUGAAGGUCUGGCAGCACCGAUAGAUAAUUUUUCGCUAGAAGUUGUUAAACCGCAUUUCAUAUCUGAUAGUCAGAUUCCUCCAGAUUUUUCUGAUACAUCACAUCAAGCUGCAAAAACCCCUGCCAAGAGAACCAGGGCUAAAUCUAAAGUUUUCAAGUCACCAUAUCUGACAGAGUAUACUUUUGGUUCAAAUGCCAUUGAGAACGAAAUCAUAGAAUUGAUGCAGAAAUUCGCGUUUGAUUAUUUCAUAAUAUCUGACGACAUGUCGUGGCGUGUCAUUACAGAGUACAAGAAGUGGGUUGAAGAAGGUCUAUUGAAGUUUCAUGUAAAAAAGUAAGUUUUAUCAUUAUUAAAUUGAACAUUUUUUGUCAAUAUGUGUUUACAAUUUAUAUUUUUUUCUUACUAACAAAAUUUAACAUUUUAUAGAAAAAUGAAUGAUGACCACUACAGAAUAAAAGCAUCUGCUCUUGGAGUUCAAGAAUUUGAUUUUGUUGUUGCACAUGCAUGGUCAAAAAAUUGAUGUCUCAAACAAAUGCAUGCUAAAACGAUGAAAUAUUUUUAAUUUUAAAAAACUUUCAUAUUUACAUACAUAUACCUAAGUUCAUUCGACUUGCAUAUAGAAAAAUUUGUUAUGUUCUUUGUCACAGCACUGUUGAUUUAUGUAUGUGCAUCAAAUUUAUAUAUAUAUGUAUGACUGUUAUGUAUUCCUUACCAUUAUGUAUAUAAAUAUCUGAUUGAAAAAUUUAAGUAUGACCGGUUAUUGGCAGUUACUUAUGCAUACGCCCAAGUGCAAAGUACAAUAUUUCUAUCUAUUUGUUAUAUGUCCGUCUUAUUCUAUGUAUAUGCAUGCUUGUUGAUAUGUAUGUGCAAAUGCUAAAGAAUACCUACUUAUGUAUAUAACAGUUUGUUAUGUAUAUGCACUAUUAGUUUAUAAAUACUUCUGCCUGCAUGUUAUGUAUACUAACUACACAAUUACGUAGACUCUUUUUAACUCAUAUUACUUAGGGUAAACAUAUAAAUAUGUUCACAGUAUAAAUCGAUAUAAUGCCUCUUUUUUGUAGCACAUUGAUGUGAUAUUCUAUCACCUGCGCAAGAAAUUAAAGAUUGAUCAAGAAUAUAAAUGCACAACAAUUGUUUUUUCAAGAGCUAUAUUGAGAAGACGUACUGUAGAUAUUAUCCCGAUAUGGUACUUUCUACACAACAGGAUUAUGCUCAAUCUAUUUUUGUGGCCCAGAAUAAAGAGGCAAUAACAAACAUAAUCAAGGAAUUUUGCAUUCUAGCUGGGUUACCAUGGCACCUAGUUGAUGAGGUGUAUUUUCCUGUCAACUGCAAUGAAAAGUUUCACUGGAUAUUAGUUGUUAUUGCUCUAAAGGAUAGCCGCAUACGCGUCUAUGAUUUACUGUCCAAUCUAAGAAAUAUGGACUCAUCGUCCGAGAUUCACAAGUUGGCAGUGAUGCUGCCAACUUACUUGUCUGACGACGAAUUUUUUUGAAGAAAAGACACGUACAGAAUGUGCAAAUCUUGAUGCAUAUAGGGAUAAGAUGAGUUAAAGGACAUAGUUAGUGAAUCAACACCCAUUCAAGGUUGAGUAUAUGCAAAACAGUACUCAACAAGAAUGUGACAGCUUGUAAGUAAUCUAACUGUUAUUUAUGAUGUGUUGGACAAAAUAACGUGUUUAUUUUUUUGCAUGUCAGCUUGGAAGAAACAAACACGGUAUUUCUUCUAACACAGCAUAAAUAGUAGUUCAUAAAAAAAUAUAGAAGAUUACUUACAAAUUGUCACAUUCUUGUUGAGUAAUGUUUUGCACAUACUCAAUCUCAAAUGAGUGUUGAUUCAUUAACUGUGUCCUUUGACCCAUCUUAUUCCUAUAUGCAUCAAGAUUUGCCCAAUCUGCACGUGUUGUUUCUUUAAAAAAUCCACUGUCAGACAAGUAAGUUGACAGCAUCACUGCCAACUUGUGAAUCUCAGGCGAUGAGUCUAUAUUUCUUAGAUUAGACAGUGAGUCAUAGACGCGUAUGCGUCUAUCCUUUAGAGCAGUAACAACUAAUACCUAGUAAAACUUUUCAUUGCAGUUGACAAGAACAUACACCUCAGCAACUAGGUGCCAUGGUAACCUAGCUGGAAUGCAAAAUUCCUUGAUUAUGUUUGUUAGUGCCUCUUCAUUCUGGACCACAAUAACAGACUGAACAUAAUCCUGCUGUGUAGAAAGUACUGUAUCUGAAUCAUCAGGAUCAUAUCUUCGGUACGUCUUCUCAAUAUAGCUCUUGAAAAAGCAGUUUGUUGUUGUGAAUCUGUAUUCUUGGUCAAUCCUUAAUUUUAAUUUUGCACAGAUGAUAGAAUAUCACAUCAAUAUGCUACAAAGUUGAAAUACAAAGAAGAAGCAUUAUGUCGAUUUAUACUGUGAACAUAUUUAUAUGUUUACUCUAAGUAAUAUGAGUUAAAAAGAGUAUAUAUAAUUGUGGAGUUAGUAUACAUAACAUGCAGGCAGACGUAUUUAUAAACUGAUAGUGCAUAUACAUAACAGACUAUUAUAUACAUAAGUAGAUAUUCUUUAGCAUUUGCACAUACAUAUCAACAAGCAUGCAUAUACAUAGAAUAAGGCAGACAUAUUGCAAAUAGAUAGAAAUAUUUUACUUUGCACUCAGGCAUAUACAUAAGUAACUGCCAACAAUCGGCCACACAUUAACUUUUCAUCAGAUAUUUAUAUACAUAAUGAUAAGGAAAAUACAUAACAGGCAUACAUAUAUAUAAAUUUGAUGCGCAUACAUAAAUCAGCAGUGUACAACUGACUAUGGCAAAAAACAUAAUAAAUUUUUAUAUAUGUAAGUCGAAUGAACUUAGGUAUAUGUAUGUAAAUAUGAAAGUUCCAGCAUGCAUUUGUUUGAGACAUCAAGUAAAAUAAAUUUUUGACCGUGCAUGUGCAACAACAAAAUUGAAUUCUUGAACUCCAAGAGCAGAUGUUUUUGCUCUGUAGUAGUUAUCAUUUAUUUUUCUAUAAAAUAUUAAAUUUUGUUAGUAAGAAAAAAAUAUAAAUUGUAUACGCAUAUUAACAAAAAAUGUUAAAGUUUAAUAAUGAGCAAACUUACUUUUUUGCAUGAAACUUCAAUAGACCUUCCUCAACCCACUUCUUGUACUCUUCAAUGACAUGCCUUGACAUAUCAUCAGAUAUUAUGAAAUCAUCAAAUGCGAAUUUUUGUUUCAAUUUAGUGAUUUCGUCCUCAAUGACCUUUGAACCAGAAGCAUACUCUGUCAAGUAUGGUGACUUAAAAACUUUAGAUUUAAUCCUGGUCCUCCUGACAGGAAUUUUUGCAGCUUAAUGUGUCGCAACAACUGCAUCAGGAAAAUCUAGAGGAAUCUGACUAACAGAUAUGGAAUGCGGGCUAACUAUUCUUCUGACGGUUUAACAACUUCUAGAGGAAGAUCAUCCACCAGUGCUGCCAGACCUUCCAUUAUGGCGUCUAAGUCAGCUUGAGCAGAUUUUAAAAUUGUACUCAAGUAAUCAUCCUACUAGUAAAUAUUAUAUGUAUAGUGCUAGUUUUUUUUAAAUGCGUUAGUAAAAGUAGUGUGAUGUGUAAAAUAUUUGAAAUGUAUACUGAAAAAAUGCACUUUAUGUAUUUACUGGAUGCUCUUUAUGGAUAUUCACUGUAAUAGAUGUUUCAACCUUGGCGUAAUUCGAUUUCUGAUUUACCACAGCUUCGACAAGAGCAUCUAAUGUGGCAGUUUUAAUAUCCGCACUGCAACCUUCAAUAUCCUGGUAGAUAUGACAUAAAACAUAUACAAAACUAAAUCAGUUUAUUGUUUUAAUUAUAAGAGUUAGAAUCUGAGAUAUCCAACCUUAGAUUGAUUUUGUAUAGAGGAAUGUGGUUCCCAUAAAAAAAAAAACAUCCUCCAUUAUAUCAUCACCAAACACUUUGCCUAGUGUCACCGACAACCUAAAAAUUUAAAAUGAGCAUUGGAUGAUUUAUGAUAACGUUCUCAUUUUGAUGUACUAUAUAUGCAUAUUAUAAUCAUAUACAUAAGUCAUAUCACAUAUACAUUAUAAUAACAAUAUAACUACUAGGCACAUCAGUCAAAAUUCCCAACAAACUAAACUAAAAAUAUAUCAUAAAUUUUUAUUUUUUUUAAAGAUUAAGAUAAAUUCAUAUAUGAAACAACGUGUAAAACAAUUAUUUAGGAAAAAAUAUCUUUUUCCCUUUGUCUUUCAAGCUUGUGGCCAUAGCCAUCUCUUCGACAUUGUCACAUGAUGGUGCAUCCUCCAUUAUAUCAUCUCCCAUUUUAUAUUGAUUGUGUCUCAACAACAGAGAGAGCCACAACAUCGAAUUCAACACCCUCCAAGCAAAGAACAACUCCUAUUUCUCCAUUGAACUCUCUGUCCUCUGCACAUUUAUCAAUCGUUGAUAUGCACAACGGAUACAUCACGAACACUGGUUGAGAUUCUUAACCUCCACAUACAACCGAACACUAUUAUCAUUACAGAUAUGAAAAGGUGAUUCAUUGCCGUCAACAACAUAACGUACAUCAAUAUUUUUUCAAGAUUUGUCAAUGUUUAAUUCGACAAUAAUUGACGACAUCAACCUCAAAUAAUUAAUUAAUUCAGCGACAACGAUCCCUUCACUUUUGUAAUUAACAUAUUUUGUUUCGAUUCCCCAUUGACCAAAAUACCUCAAAAAAAAUUAGCAAUAUUCAUCUUCUUGAAUUUCAAUAAAUUAGCAAUAUUCAUCUUCUUGAAUUUCAAUUAAUUUUUUUUCUUCAAAAAGAUCAAAAAACAGUGCUCAAAUUGAUUUUGAUUUAUAUUUUUCGUCUUAUUUGAUUUUUAUGUAUUUGUUGUUUUCAAAAUUAGAAUUUCAGUAGUUGUUACAUAAUUUAAGGGAUGCAAUAAUCCACUUAUUAAAUUAGUUACGUUAAUUACGUCCUUAAUGGCAGGGGAAUCCGCUAUUUUCAUUUUAACAAUGGUAACAAAUUCGCAUAUACAAAGGUUUCUAUGUAUAUGUCGGCAGUCUUAUGUAUAUGAAUUGGGAGAGAGUAAAAUAAUUAAAGAAGUGGGAGAAUGUAAAUAAUAGUAAAAGGAUUGGUAUUUAUGUUAUUUACUAGUUUAGGUGUACGCGCCUUGCGCGUGUACCUUACUUUAUUGAGUUUAAACGUUACACUAAAUAAGAUAUUUGUUUAAAUAAUAAAGAUGAAUAUAAUAAUUAAAUUCAACAUCUUUUAAAGAAUUUAUUUAAUUAAACCUAACCUUACCAAAAAAAUUUCUCAAAGCCGAUCGACAUUCAUCUACCACCUGUAAACUGCAACAAAACAAUAAAACAAUAUGAUGAUAAAGACAUCAAAACAAUAUAAUUAAAUUUAAACUUUACACAAAAAUUUCCUCAAAGUCUUCCGACACUCAUCUACCACCUGUAAACUAUAACAAAAUAAUACGAUAAUAGAGAUAUCAAAAUAAUACAACUAAACUUUACCUUUAACACAAAAAAAAUCUCAAAACAGAGAUAUAAAAAUAAUACAAUUAAACCUAAUUCUUACCUAAAAAAAUUCCUCAAAGCCGACCGACAUUUAUCUACCACCUGUAAAUUCAUCUAAGACCUGUAAACUACAACAAAAUAAUACUAUAGUGAUAAAAAGGCUUCAGUUUUGAUGAAACUAAUUUUUGUUUGGGCGAAAAAACUACAACAAAAUAAUACAAUAAUAAUCACAAAGCUUCAGUUUUGAUGAAAAUAAUUCUUGUCUGAGCAAAAAUUGACACUAAAAAAAUGACUUAAAUAAAAACAAAGAAGACAUAUACACACACAUGAAUGAAGUUGAAGGCUAGAAAAUUAAGCAUCCAUCAAUCUAGAUAUGCAACCGAAUCAAGUUAGAUGAGUAUCAGUCAUAUUUUCACAAUAAGUAAACCAGUUUCUUCUCUAAUUUAAUGUGCAUCUCAAUAUUUAUAGAAGUAUUUUCUUAAUAGAGUCCUAUUUUAGAAGUAUUUUUUUAUCCUAGUUUAGGAGUAUUUUUCAUCUAAAAUUUUAGUAACUUAUGUUAAGAGAGAGAAAGUAAUCUUUUAUUUUAUUUUAACGUCUUUAUAUUGACAUAAUUAGUUAGAAUGAUAUUUAUUUCACUUCUUAUACAAUUACAAAUUCAAAUUUUUCUUUGUAGUCUCAACUUUUUUUUGCUCCGUUUUCGUCAAGUUGAAUUUUCCUAAAUUCAAAUGUUUUUCCAGUACGUUUUUCUUAUGGUAAAGCCCCUCCCCCCUUCAAAAUAUGGUAAUUCUUAUUAAAAUAUUAAUUGAUUCUCUUUUUAUAUAUUUUAAGAGUCUCAUAUAUUUUAGGAGUCUAGUUAAUAUACUAAAAAUAAUUAAAUAAUAAAUUAAAGAAAAUAGCGAAAAGAUAGUUUUGUCUGAAGGAGAGUCUUUUAAUGAAGGGCAAAAAAUUCAAAUCACUUUUAUAAGGGUCUUUACACUUUUAAUAUAUUAUAGAUAUAGAUAUUGAAAUUAGACCAUAUCAUACAUUUUAAGAAACAAUCAAAACAAAUAUGAUUCUCCUAGUAACCAUACCAUACCAUGAAAAACUACCAUCCAAAUAGUGUGUAAAAUUUCCAAAUGUGAUUUUUAUUAUACUUAUCUUCAUCUCUCUUCAAUAUAUUUUAUUCAUACAAGUUCAAUAUCGACCAAAGAACGUCACUACCAGCAACAGAGGCGGAUCAUGUUGGGUGUCACGUUCAUUUGGAUUUAAUAUUUUCGAUAUGAAAGAUACAUGUAUAUGUAAUUAUUUAUUAAAAUUACAAUAAGUAAAACUUGAAUCGAUCUAAAAAUCAUAAGGGUUGAGCUCACAAAAUUUAAAUCUUAGACUCGUUUCAAUCGAAGAUACUUCGGAAAUAACUUCUAUAUCUCCACAAGUUAACAGUAAAGUCAACAUACAAUCUAUUACUUGUAAAAUUUCACAGACUAUGUUAUUGUUGUUCCAUCAACAAAUACUCUAAAUUGCACAUCAAAGAUAGUUUGAUGAUACACGUAUCCCUAAGUUUGUCAUACUUAUUACUAGAAAAAAAAAUUGUAGUGGGACACUCGUAUCUUUUUUGGAUUUUGGUCAUUUCAUAAUAGACUUGCAAUCUUUUAUAUAGGAGGUGGCCACUGGCCAUUAGGGGGCUACAAAAGACAGGUAUACAGAAAUAACCCUUUGGUUACACAAAACAUGCAUUCAGUAAUUCUUAUUUGAGCAUUAGAACAUUUCGUUGUACUAAAUAUAAGUUGUUUAUUGGUUAGAAAAAAAGAGUAACAAUAUGCUCCUUAUUUUAGUUAUUUUAUUUAUCUAAUCAUUUAGGUAACUCAAGUAUGUAUUUUUUUUUUUACAUUGUACUGUAAAGAAGAAAAGGGCACAAGUGAGAUGACUUAGUUGAUGCAAGAGGUGGUAUUCUAUAAGGAAGGUCCGAGAUUAAUUUUCUCCAUCUGACUUCUUCUUAGUCUAGCUCACCACACUAGAAAACACUUCUUUAAAAAUAGUGUAUAAAUUUAAAUUAAUCAAACUAGUGAAUUAAAUAUCAAAUGGUUAUACUAAAUUCUUAUAAAUGCAGAGAAAGGAAAUUUCCCUUUGGGCUCCACUUCUCUAAAUGGGAACAAGGAUAUUAUUUCUUUCUUUCACUUUUCCAUAAAACCAAACAAAGAAACUGUAAUAUCUUUCUGCCUUUACACUUUCUUGAUUUUGACUUCCCUUUCCUUUUCAUUCCUUUUCUGUUCUUCAUUUCACUGCUUUCUGAAGAAAUCCAAACAAACUAAGGUUGAUCUUUAAUUUUUAUCCUUCAAAAUCAAGCUUAUAUUAUGGUGCUCUGGAGGAAGGUAGUAGGUACUAAGGUACCCUGCGGAGUUGAUGCACACAAACUGGCCCGACCAGUAUGAUAAUUGAAAAAGGUAGUUGUUCUUGUUAAUUUUAUCUGCACUUUGUAUCAGGGGCGGAUUCAGGGUGCUGGGUGGGGGAUCCCGGAAACCCAGUAACUUUCGUACGGAACUAUUAUUUAUAUAGCGAAAUCAAGUAAAUAUAUAAGAAUUAUAAGUUAGAAACCCAUAAAUAAAGUGUAUUGUUGGUCUAGUGGAGUAGAUGGAUUUGUAAAAGAUUUAUUGUCCUCUUAGUUGUAGGUUCAAAUCCCCGUAGCCACUAUUUGUUUUUAUUUUUGUUAAUGCAAAAAAUCCACAAACUUUAAAUACUGCCUGUGCUUUAUAUAUUGAACUAGUCUAAUAUUUGAUAUACACUAUGUAUAUAGUUGGAGAUUCCCAUCAAAUGUAGUAAAAAAAAAAAAAACAAUGGUACUGCCAGGACCAUACAUCUGGUCGACCAUACGUGGUAAUGAAAAUACAAAGUAUACUCUAUUUCUCAGCAUUAACAAAUUUAUGGACGUCAUGUCUACCAGGUCGUCUCUAUCGUGAAGAUUAUGACUGCAUUUACCAGUUACCAUAACCACCUUUACCAUUCCAGGCAGUGAUUCCCAGAACAGAGUUCUGAUGGAAGCUGUGUGGAUGAAUCCUCAUAGAAGCUGAAACAAUUUUCGGUCAGAAACGCGGCACCAACGUGCUUGGUGCAGCUAAUGAGCAAACCAUAGGAAGUAGAGGUGAGUAGAUAAUUUCAAUCAGCAAAGUAGCCGAUGGAAGAGAUUUCUAAGUAGGGUAGUACCAUGAAAUUCUCGUCCAAUCCACAGAAGCGCAAACACACUCCAUUCAGAUUAUGUUCUUCAUUUUUCUGCUGUUCCUCUUGCAUGCCUUAACGGUUAGGAUUGAACAUCACCCUCUAGCCAAUCAAACAUCAUUGUCAUUGGACUGAAUCAAUGAUAUUGAGGAAGUCGGUCAGAUCCUUCUUCUCAACUAAAUUAUUGACAUUUACUAGUGAUAAUAUAAUAUGUGGGGGAAGGGCCGCACCCCAAGGGUGUGAUGUAGACAACAUAUCCUAAUACAAAACAUUAGUGGUUGCUUCCACGGCUCGAACGCGUGACCUAUAGGUCAAACAGAAACAACUUUACCGCUGCUCCAAAGAUCCCCUCAAGUGAUAAUAUAAUAUACAACAACAUACCCAGAUCCCAGUGUAAUCCCAUAAAGUGGGGGAGUACUGAUAAUAUAAUACAGUAAACAUAAUUAGAAAAUACUGAUGAUUCCUAAACAAGAAAUACUUCAUUUUUUGGUAAAAUCAUUGCGUCGCUUGUCAGAUAUUAGUUUGGUUUGGAAACCAAACCAAAUUGUUCUCUUUUAUAACGCAGUGUCACAAUCAACUCGUGCCCUUUCAUGAAGUAUUUGUUGCCUUCUAUCAAAAGGUAAUGAGUUCAAGAUUUGUGUAUUGUUGGUGUACAAAAUAUUUAAUAUUAUCAAGUAAAUUUGAUCUGCCAUUGCAGAUUAUUGAGUUUUUUACAUAAAAAUUGAAAAAGAAAAAAUUAGUUAAUCAUAUAAAAUUUAUCUGAUAGUAUAGAGUAGUUUAUACAGAGAUAAAGCACAAAACUUAAAUUUAAAGAUAAUUCUGUGCCCCUUGAACAUUUGCAUAAGUACAAUGUUUUAGUGCAAAUUUGCCUUGCCAUAAAGCCUAACGUACUCGCAGAGAUUUGGGCAAAUUCUAGCAAUGAAAAAUCUUUAUCAUGUCAUAAACUUGACGAAUCCUCACAAUUUAAUCACAAAAUUGAUUUAUUAUAUUUUUUAAUAUUUUUUUUUUUGCUUUAAAAGUGUCAUGAAUGAAUUUCAAAUGACUUCAAAUUUGCUAAAGAAAAUUCUAAUAGUAACCUCAAUAAUUCAUGUUUGCUGAGGAUUUUAGGGAAAUAAUCUCUCAAUCUUUUCGAGGCAGUGAUAAAAUAUAUGUAUAUUUUAUCCUUCUAGACCUCACUUAUAGAAUUUCACUUAGUAUAUUAUUGUUGUAGUAGCCUCGAUAAAAGUUAAAUUUUUGACUCCUUUCAAUCGAGGGUCCUUCGAAAAUAAUUUCUCUAUCUUUACAAGUUAAGACUAAAUUUUAAUUGUAAAAUUUCAUUGACUAUGUUAUUGUUGUUCCAUAAUAGACUUGCAAUCUUUUAUAUAGGAGGUGGCCACUGGCCAUUAGGGGGCUACAAAAGACAGGUAUACAGAAAUAACCCUUUGGUUACACAAAACAUGCAUUCAGUAAUUCUUAUUUGAGCAUUAGAACAUUUCGUUGUACUAAAUAUAAGUUGUUUAUUGGUUAGAAAAAAAGAGUAACAAUAUGCUCCUUAUUUUAGUUAUUUCAUUUAUCUAAUCAUUUAGGUAAUUCAAGUAUGUAUUUUUGAUGGUAUUCUAUAAGGGAGGUCCGGGAUUAAUUUUCUCCAUCUGACUUCUUCUCAGUCUAACUCACCGCACUAGACAACACUUCUUUAAAAAUAGUGUAUAAAUUUGAAUUAAUCAAACUAGUAAAUUAAAUAUCAAAUGGUUAUACUAAAUUCUAAUAAAUGAAGAGAAAGGAAAUUUCCCUUUGGGCUCCACUUCUCUAAAUGGGAACUAGGAUAUUAUUUCUUUCUUUCACUUUUCCAUAAAACCAAACAAAGAAACUGUAAUAUCUUUCUGCCUUUACACUUUCUUGAUUUUGACCUCCCUGUCCUUUUCGUUCCUUUUCUGUUCUUCAUUUCACUGCUUUCUGAAGAAAUCCAAACAAACUAAGGUUGGUCUUUAAUUUUUGUCCUUCAAAAUCAAGCUUAUAUCUAGCAGGAUAUAACUUGUGAAAUAUUAUGGUUCUCUGGAGGAAGGUAGUAGGUACUAAGGUACCCUGCGGAGUUGAUCUCCAUGCACACAAACUGGCCCGAUCAGUACGAUAAUUGAAAAAGGCAGUUGUUCUAGUUAAUUUUAUCUGCGCUUUGUAUGUUGAACUAGUCUAAUAUUUGAAGUAGUAGAAAAAACCAAUGACUGCCAGGACCAUACAUCUGGUUGACCAUACGUGAUAUUGAAAAUACAAAGUAUAUUUCUCAGCAUUAGUCAAUGUAGUCAGCCAUAUAUAGUGCUUGCCAGAACUGUAAGAAAUUGUAAACAAAUUUAUGGACGUCAUGUCUACCAGGUCGUCUCUAUCGUGAAGAUUAUGACUGCAUUUACCAGUUACCAUAACCACCUUUACCAUUCCAGGCAGUGAUUCCCAGAACAGAGUUCUGAUGGAAGCUGUGUGGAUGAAUCCUCAUAGAAGCUGAAACAAUUUUAGGGCAGAAACGUGAAAGCUGCACCCGGCAGAACGUGCUUGGUGCAGCUAAUGAGCAAACCAUAGGAAGUAGAGGUGUAACACCCCGUAGUAUUCUCGACUUGAUACCACACUUAGUAGCAUGCUUAAAGAGCUAACAACCUGAAACUUUUCCAAGUGUUUAAAAGGACUUAGUCAUAUUUUAAGUUCCUGAAUUUCAAUGAUCCUUAAAUCGAUCUUUCCGACCUCGAGACGUAGAUUUUAAAGUUAAUUCAUGUUCAAGGAUGUAAGGGGCAUGUCUUGGGGAAGUUUCAGAAUUUUCGAACGAGUGUAAGGGCAUGUUUGGAUCACCAAAACAGUAGCACGCCGCAAUAUGCCUGCGUCACCUGCUCCAUUUCGGUGCUACGGAACACACGUCGCGCGCUCCAUUCCGGCGCUCCGUAGCCCGCUGAAUAGCGUGCUCUCAUAUUUUUCAGUUCCUGUUUCCGCGUAUUUGAGGGCAAUCAGGUCAUUUACCUUACCCAAAACUGUCCAAAACACAAGAUUGAAGCCCCCAAAGAGCAUUUGUUACAUCAUCAUUCACUUUUCCUCUCCAAGAAAACCCUAAACCCCCCAAAGAUCAAGAAUCAAGCUCUUACGUCAAGAUUUCCAACAAACAAAUCAAGAUUCGGGUUCUAUCCUUCGAACUAAGUAAUCUAAGAUACGUGGGGCCAUCCUAAACUCCUUGGGCAUAAGUUUUAUGAUUUUUAUUAAGUUCAAAGAUAUAUAAUCAUGUUUACAAAGAGGGUUUUGACAUGGUUUUGAAUAGCAUAUAUUAUGAACUUGUUUUGAUGAAAGUAAACGUUUGUCUUGAACCCCUUUUAUAGAAUUGAAUUAUAACCACGUAUACAUACGCGUUUUCAGUUUUGCAAAGUUCAAUUGAGAGCAUAAAUGACGCAACCCCUCUCUUGUUUCGAUACCUCUUGAUUUCACAUGUUGUUGGUUGUUCAAUUGUAUAUUUUGAACAACAACAAACCCAGUGUAUUCCCACAUAGUGAGGUCUGGGGAGGGUAAGAUGUACGCAGUCCAUACCUCUACCUCUAAAGAAGUAGAAAGGUUGUUUCCGAUAGACCCCCGGCUCGAGGCACGGAAUACUAAACAAAUUCAUAGUAAACCAUAACAUAAAUACGACACCCACAAGUAAUAGUAAACAGAGAAAAGUAAACAGAUUCGUAAUAAAGCAUGAAACAAGGUAUCAUAACAAGAAUAAUACCCGCACCAAGUAAUUCCCUACCCUACACCCAAACUGACCUUAGCCUUCUGUCCUAAUUCGCGUCCUCCAGAUCUUCCUAUCUAGGGUCAUGUCCUCAAUGAGUUGUAACUGCUCCAUGUCCCGCCUAAUCACCUCUCCCCAGUACUUCUUCGGCCUACCCCUACCCGCCUAAAACCAUCCAAAGCUAGCCUCUCACACCUACGAACCAGGGCAUCCAUGCCCCUCCUCAUAACGUGUCUGAACCAUCUCAAUCGGACUUCCCGCAUCUUAAUCUAACUCUAUCCCCCCUAGUCAGCUCACACAUCCAACGCAACAUCCGCAUUUCCGCCACCUUCAUUUUUUGAAUGUGAGAGUUCUUAACUGGCCAACACUCCGCUCCAUACAACAUGGCCGGACGGAUUGCCACCCUGUAAAAUUUGCCUUUAAGCUUGGGCGGCACCUUCUUAUCACACUAUACCCCCGAAGCGAGCUUCCACUUCAUCUAUCCCACCCCAAUACGGUGCGAGACAUCCUCUUCAAUAUCACCGUUACCCUGAAUCACGGACCCGAGAUACUUGAAACUAUCCCUCUUACAUACCACCUGUGAUUCCAACUUCACUACCACCUCAUUCUCCAGCCUCACGUCAUUAAACUUGCAUUCCAAAUACUCUGUCUUACUCCUACUCAACCUGAACCCUUUAGACUCAAGAGUUUGUCUCCACACCUCUAAUUUCCGCGUCUCAUCAAUCAAAACUACAUCAUCUGCAAAAAGCAUACANNNNNNNNNNNNNNNNNNNNNNNNNNNNNNNNNNNNNNNNNNNNNNNNNNNNNNNNNNNNNNNNNNNNNNNNNNNNNNNNNNNNNNNNNNNNNNNNNNNNNNNNNNNNNNNNNNNNNNNNNNNNNNNNNNNNNNNNNNNNNNNNNNNNNNNNNNNNNNNNNNNNNNNNNNNNNNNNNNNNNNNNNNNNNNNNNNNNNNNNNNNNNNNNNNNNNNNNNNNNNNNNNNNNNNNNNNNNNNNNNNNNNNNNNNNNNNNNNNNNNNNNNNNNNNNNNNNNNNNNNNNNNNNNNNNNNNNNNNNNNNNNNNNNNNNNNNNNNNNNNNNNNNNNNNNNNNNNNNNNNNNNNNNNNNNNNNNNNNNNNNNNNNNNNNNNNNNNNNNNNNNNNNNNNNNNNNNNNNNNNNNNNNNNNNNNNNNNNCCAGGCAUAAAUCCAAACUGGUUCUCCGAAAUAGACACUAUCCGUCUCAGCCUCACCUCGACUACUCUCUCCCAAAUCAUCAUAGAGUGACUCACUCAAUAACUACCCCUAUAGUUAUUGCAACUCUGAAUGUCACCCUUGUUCUUAUAAAGAGAGAUCAUAGUACUCCACCUCCAAGCCUCGGGCAUUUUCGCCGUCUUGAAAAUUCCAUUAAACAAUCCAGUCAACCACAUUAAACCAGCCUCGCCAGAAAACUUCCAAAAAUCCACAGGUAGGUAUCUCAUCAGGCCCCGUCGCCCUACCCCUUCGCAUCCUGCGAACAACCUCUCUAACCUCCUCUACCUUAAAACGUCUACAAUAACUAAAAUCCCGACACUCCUCUGAGUGCUCCAACUCCCCUAACACAAUAGCUCUAUCCCUUCGUCAUUCAAGACCUAUGAAAAUACGACUACCAUCUAUUCUUAAUGUGGCCAUCCUCCACCAACACUGUACCGUCCUCCCCCUUAAUGCACUUCACCUGAUCGAGGUCACGACCCUUCCUCUCCCUAGCCUUAGCGAGUCUAAACAACUUUUUUUCUCCUCCUUUCUCCUAUAACCCCGCAUACAAGCUCUCAAAUGCUGCCGUCUUAGCCGUAGUAACUGCUAACUUAGCCUCCUUCAUAGCUAACUUGUACUCUUUCCUAUUUACCUGCUUCUCUUCUUCGUCCUUACUCUCAACCAACUUAGCAUACGCCCCUUUCUUGGUCUCCACUUUCUUCUUAACCUCUUCAUNNNNNNNNNNNNNNNNNNNNNNNNNNNNNNNNNNNNNNNNNNNNNNNNNNNNNNNNNNNNNNNNNNNNNNNNNNNNNNNNNNNNNNNNNNNNNNNNNNNNNNNNNNNNNNNNNNNNNNNNNNNNNNNNNNNNNNNNNNNNNNNNNNNNNNNNNNNNNNNNNNNNNNNNNNNNNNNNNNNNNNNNNNNNNNNNNNNNNNNNNNNNNNNNNNNNNNNNNNNNNNNNNNNNNNNNNNNNNNNNNNNNNNNNNNNNNNNNNNNNNNNNNNNNNNNNNNNNNNNNNNNNNNNNNNNNNNNNNNNNNNNNNNNNNNNNNNNNNNNNNNNNNNNNNNNNNNNNNNNNNNNNNNNNNNNNNNNNNNNNNNNNNNNNNNNNNNNNNNNNNNNNNNNNNNNNNNNNNNNNNNNNNNNNNNNNNNNNNNNNNNNNNNNNNNNNNNNNNNNNNNNNNNNNNNNNNNNNNNNNNNNNNNNNNNNNNNNNNNNNNNNNNNNNNNNNNNNNNNNNNNNNNNNNNNNNNNNNNNNNNNNNNNNNNNNNNNNNNNNNNNNNNNNNNNNNNNNNNNNNNNNNNNNNNNNNNNNNNNNNNNNNNNNNNNNNNNNNNNNNNNNNNNNNNNNNNNNNNNNNNNNNNNNNNNNNNNNNNNNNNNNNNNNNNNNNNNNNNNNNNNNNNNNNNNNNNNNNNNNNNNNNNNNNNNNNNNNNNNNNNNNNNNNNNAAGCCCACUUGCGGCGCAUAAGCACUACACACGUUCAGGGUAAACCCCCCAAUGACCAACUUAAUAGUCAUCAACCUAUCGCUGAUCCUCUUUACCUCUACUACCUGACCUCUAAGCUCUUCAUCUACUAAGAUGCCAACUUCAUUCCUACGCAUCUCGCUCCCAGAGUACCAAAGCUUGUAACCAUCCACAUCCCUAGCCUUAGACCCUACCCACUUGGUCUCUUGAACACACGCAAUAUUAAUCCUCCUCUUCUAAGAAUUUUCACAAGCUCCAUGGACUUACCCUAAAGAGUCUCUAUAUUCCAAGACCCAACGCUCAGCCUACCAACCCUAUCAACACGUCUUGCUCUACCGCCCCUGAGGCCAAACCUUGGCCUCCCUCUCACCCCCGCCCUUUCCUCUUCUCCCGCCACCACAACAGCCCCCCGCCCCAACCCCCUCGGACAUGACCCUAUCCAACCAUCAAUGCCCACAGCCACUACUACAAGAAAAUAUAAGAAAAUAUAAACAAUGGUAGUAACAAAGCAGCAGUUAGAAGAAAUAAUCAAGAAACAAAACUAAACUCAAAUAGGGAGAAAAAACAAAACCAAGGUAAGGACAAAACUAACAGUAAGAAAAAUAGAGCACAAUAAUGGCCUGGCACCAAGGACAGCCAAACAAAUAAUAAGGAGCGGUGCAAGUCACGAAUAUACUACAGCAGACACGCAAGUCAAGAUACAGGAGAUAGUACGAUAAAUAAUAUGAAGCAACAUAAGAGGUUCAGAAAUAGCAAGACAAUAAAGACACUAUCAAAGUAUACACUAUAUCCAAAUUUUAAGAACUAAUAGAAAUCCAAAUCACAGAUAGGAAAUCCCACGCAAAUUACAGGCAACAAAAAUAUUGAAAAAUCACGUGAUAAAAUAAAGUUAAAGAGUUAGAAGUCACCAAAAAUACGUAUAUCAUGUAAUCUGCUCUUGCUUGUUGUGCUGGAACCUGGCAAACUGGGUCGCCGAAAUCACUUCGCCGGAAAGUCGCCGGCUCGGAUCUGGACAGUAGUUGCAAUAUCCGGUAGCGACCCCCACCUGAAUUUUGUGGCUCCGCCGCCUUCACCACCGACGUCCGUCGAACCAGUCGAACCAGUUCACCGAAUCCGAUCGCGGACCAGUAAUCAGCAAGUUGCUGCCUUCGCAAAUCUGCUGAUAGUGGAGAGGGGAGAGAGGGAGGGAGGGGGAAAGGGAGAGAGGGAGGGAGGGGGAAAGAGAGGAAGACCAAGAAAGAGAGGGAGAGAGAAGUGUGCCUACCUGUCGCUGGUGUUGUUUCGCCGCCGGCGUCUACUUCACAGAGACUGACCAGUCACGUCAAAGAGAAUGCAGGGGAAGGGAGAGACCAAGGAAAAGAGAUGGAGCAACGUACUUACCUGUCGCCGGCAUCUGCUUCAACGGCGACGGCACGGUCUGUAUACAAAUUUUGAAUUUUGAGCAGAAUCCAAGUACCAAAAUUGAAUUUUGAGGGAAACCCAAGUUGUGAAAUUGGAUUUAGAGGGAAACCAGAAGGGAAUUUGGAAUCCGAUGAGUAAUUCCGGCGACAAAUCUAGGGUUUGGGCGGUAGAAGGAGGAAAGAGAAAGAGGAGAGAGAGCUUCAACACAACUUUAAUAUAUCGUCUAUGUAAAAGAAAAAUUAUACUAUCAUGUCAUUCCCAAUUGUAUAUUUUGAAGUAAGAGAUAACUGUUUUACUAUUGAUAUGGACUUGAUAUUGGUUGUAAAUUGAAGAGAGGGUGUUUUCUUGCUUGUAAAUGUUAAAAUGAUUAUUGAAAGAAUUGCAUGGUUUGCUACAAAGUAAUUGACCACCACAUGUUUAAGAAUUGAAAGAGAGAAUCUUUGCAUAAGUUUUCAUAUAUUUCGAAACACAAAUUCUCUCGUACUGUUUGAAUGAUUUGGUGGUCCAAACAUUAUGUUUUAAAUGAAAAGACUGUAACAUGAUAUUUUAUGGCUUAUCCGACUUGCAAGUCUUGGUAUGACGAUAAACAGACAAAUGCCAUAAUAGACUCAGACCAGACCAGACCACUGAAAGUUUUCAGACAUUAGACCACUUUUCAGAAAGACGCGUGAUUUAAAAUGUUAAAAAUAGGCUUAAAGAGAGUUAGAUGGUUACUCGAAGAAGGCAUGAGUGUAAGGCUCAUCCCUGGAAACCGAGUUUUGCCGAUUCGGGUGAUAUGAUUGGCUAACACCAAUGUAUACAUGUCAUUGAGACACUGGUAUACUAGACGUGUAUGUAGGACCCCUAUCCUUGCGGCAAACUUGAAAGUGGGGGCUUGGCCGACUAGUUAAUGGCGGACCCAUAUAGCCCGUGGGUACUAGACUUGUAGGGUGUACCAUCUAGCUUAAAGAGUGAGUCAUGAUUUCAAAGAAUUGUUUCAAAGUCUUUUAAGUAAGCCCAUGUGUUUUCAUAUAUUGUAUGUAAAAUGUUUUAUGAAUUGCCCUCAUGUAUGUUGUAUAAAAGAAUGCUAUUUUGGAUUGCUCUACGUACCAGUACAUCUGUAUUGACUCCUAUAUUUCAGGAUUUGAGGCUCAGUCCCGGGGUCCCGCUAAGCAGUAGAUUGAUCCUGUCAGAAGUCACAGCUGGUGAGUCUCCUUUACUUCGGAAGGCCUGGUUAUGGAACAUUGUUAUUUUAUUUGGGUUUAUGGUCUAACUGGGGGCCUUGUCCCAGUUUUCAGACAGAUAUUGUUUUUGUGUUAUUAGAGAUUUCGCAGACUAAUGUCAUGAAUCUUGAAUGUUAUGAACUUCAUCUCGUAUUUGUUCAGUUGAAUUAAGAGACUGACCAUGUUUCCGUUUCGUUAAUUUUCGCAUUUCUUUAUAUUGUAUGGACGUUGUGCAUGAUUGCCAGAUAGAAAAAAAGGGCGCUCAGGCCUUCAUGGCUUGGGAUGCUCGUCGCGGCCUGGGCCUCGGUUCGGAUCGUGACAAACUUGGUACCAGAGCACAGUUCAUGGUCCCAGGGUGUCUGCGAAAUCGCGUCGGGUAGAGUCCUGUUCAUGGGUGUAUAGCGCACCACACUUAUAAGCAGGGGGCUACAAGGUGUUUAGGAAUGUCUCUCUUCUUUGCAUGAUUUAGUUCGUGCUAUAGAGUCUGUACGUCCUCUACUCAAUGAUUUCCUAUAUUUCAGAAAGUUAACAUGCCUCCCCGUAGAUCCAACGAACAGAAUGCCCAAGCUGAGGAUGUCCGCCCUACCCAUAGGAUGCGGACUCGUAUUAGAGCUCGUACCCUAGAGUUUGUUGCUACUCUAGGAGUUCCUCCUGUUCAGACUAGUCCACCUCGGUGUAAUACCCCGUACUUUUUCUUAGCUUGAAAUCGUCCCAAGGAUGUUAGAAGCUUGCUUUGAAAUAUGAAUCCACUUUUGUACAUGUGGUAUUUUUAAGAUUUUCACUUAUAUUCAUGUGGAAAAGUGAAUUAGCUUUCCAACGAUACCAAUUUCGUCCAAAUCCGGUAUCAGAGUAAAAAGUUAUGGACAUUUUACUCAGAGCUGUCAGAAUCGCCCAGGUGCGACGGCCAGGUUGGCGGACCGUCGCCUUGACCGUCGCAGCCAAGGCAGUGAGGCAACCUUCUGGAUAAGGUGCAACGGACAGGUUGUAAAUGUUAAAAUGAUUAUUGAAAGAAUUGCAUGGUUUGCUACAAAGUAAUUGACCACCACAUGUUUAAGAAUUGAAAGAGGGAAUCUUUGCAUAAGUUUUCAUAUAUUUCGAAAUACAAAUUCUCUUGUACUGUUUGAAUGAUUUGAUGGUUCAAACAUUAUGUUUUAAAUGAAACGACUGUAACAUGAUAUUUUAUGGCUUAUCCGACUUGCAAGUCUUGGUAAGACGAUAAACAGACAAAUGCCAUAACAGACUCACACUAAACCACAGAAAGUUUACAGACAUUAGACCACUUUUCAGAAAGACACAUGAUUUAAAAUAUUAAAAAUAGGCUUAAGGAAAGUUAGAUGGUUACCCGAAGAAGGCAUGAGUGUAAGGGCUCAUCGCUGGAAACCGAGUUUUGCCAAUUCGGGUGAUAAGAUUAGCUAACGCCAAUGUAUACUUGUCCUUGAGACACUGGUAUACUAGACUAGUAUGUAGGACCCUUAUCCUUGCGGCAAACUUGGAUGUGGGGGCUUGGCCAACGAGUUAAUUGCGGACCCAUAUAGCCCGUAGGUACUAGACUUGUAGGGUGUACCAUCUAGCUCAGAAGUAAGACAAAGAGCGAGUCAUGAUUUCAAAGAAUUGUUUCAAAGUCUUUUAAGUAUGCCCAUAUGUUUUCAUAUAUCGUAUGUAAAAUGUUUUAUGAAUUGCCCUCAUGUAUGUUGUAUAAAAGAACGCUAUUUUGGAUUGCUCUGCAUACCAUUACAUCUGUAUUGACUCCUAUAUUUCAGGAUCUGAGGCUCAGUCCCAAGUCCCACUAAGCAGUAGAUUGAUCCUGUCAGAAGUCCCAGUUGGUGAGCCUCCCUUACUUCGAAAGGCCCGGUUAUGGAACAUUAUUAUUUUAUUUGGGUUUAUGGUCCGACUGGGGCCUUGUCCCAGUUUUCAGACAGAUAUUGUUUUCAUGUUAUUAGAGAUUUCGCAGAGUAGUGUCAUGAAUCUUGAAUGCUAUAAACUUAAUCUCGUAUUUGUUCAGUUGAAUUAAGAGAUUGACUAUGUUUCCGUUUUGUUAAAUUUCCGCAUUUCUUUAUAUUGUAUGGACGUUGUGCAUGAUUGCCAGAUAGAAAAAGGGGCGCUCAGGCCUUCACGGCUUGGGAUGCUUGUCGCGGCCUUGAGCCUCGGUUUGGGUCGUGAUAAGAGAAGAGUAGAUAAUUUUAAACAGCAAAGUAGCCCAGAGAUGGAAGAGAUUUCUAAGUAGGGUAGUACCACGAAAUUCUUGUCCAAUCCACAGAAACGCAAAUGCACUCCAUUCAGAUUAUGUUCUUCAUUUCAUGCUUUGAGCAAUCUCACGGGACGGGAAAGAAUUUCUGUUGCUUCUCUUGAAUGCUUUAACGGUUAGGAUUGCCGCAAUAACAUCACCUCUAGCCAAUCAAGCAUCAUUGUCAUUGGACUGAAUCAAUGAUAUUGAGGAAGUCAGUCAGAUCCUUCUUCUCCACUAAAUUAUCGAUAUUUAAUAGUGAUAAUAUAAUAUGUGGUAGCCCCGUGCACAAAGCAUCUAGCAUUAGCAGGGUACGGGGAGGGCCGCACCCCAAGAGUGUGAUUUAGACAACAUAUCCUAAUACAAACAUUAGUGGUUGCUUCUACAGCUCGAACGCGUGACCUUAGGUAACACGGAGACAACUUUAUUGCUGCUCCAAAGCUCCCCUCCAGUGAUAAUAUAAGAUACAACAAUAUACCCAGAUCCCAGUGUAAUCCCAUAAAGUGGGGGAGUGAUAAUAUAAUACAGAAAACAUAAUUAGAAAAUACUGAUGAUCCCUAAACAAGAAAUACUUCAUUUUUGGUAAAAUCUUUGCGUCGCUUGCCAGAUAUUAGUUUGAUUUCCAAACCAAACUUGUUUCUGUUUGGUUUGGAAACCAAACCAAAUUGUUCUCUGUUGAGUUUACGCCCAAAAAUUCCUAAUCAAAUGAUGUAAAAAAAGGUGUUACCUAACACUACCCAAAUAAGUUCCAUGUUCAUACUGAUGCACCACUCUAUGCAGUUGGAUGUAUGUUCUUGAUAACAGCUAAUAAUAGAAUUCAUGCAUCAGCAAACCAAUAUGUAAAUCUUUAACUUACCUGAUUCACUUUUGUUUGAGGCCUCCCCUGAAAAAUCCUUGUACUCUUAGGAAAUGAUAAAUCCUUGUCCUCUUAGGCUGCUCUUUACUCAUAAAGCAUCUUGGGAGGCAAAUCUCACUAUGGACAAUCUGAGACAGCAGAAAAGUAUAUAAAUUAACUGCCGUGAACUAUCAAAAGAAGCUGAGGGAAAUUCAAAUCGGCGUCAUGCAAAAGAGGUUUGAUAAGCUUGCUUAGCAGCUUAGAUAGUUUCACAGCAUCAAACCUUGGUUUGCAAGUGCAAUCCGAAAAAUGUGGAAGUCUAGAAGACCCCAAACAUUUUCAGUGAUCCCACAAGACAGAGCAUGAUAAGCUUGCUUAGCAGCUUCUUGACGUUCUUCCAAAAGCUUUGCAUCACUAAGAAGGUUGCUGAGAGCUUCGACAAGAAUGUGUCCAGAAACCUGUCAGAGCAAAGAAGUCUGACAAGGACCUCAAAGAGGAAGAUAAAAAUCAUAUAUAAUGUAAACCACAAUAAAUAUUUCAAUAUGCUGACGCCUCUGUGAUAACAGUACUUUCAGCUCUUCAGACUUGUAAGUGCAUAAUUCUCUACAGAACUACGCUCUGAAAUUAGUCCCUUGCCGCUGCAGGUUCAUCAGUACCAAUUUAUAUAAACACUAUAAUUGAAUUAUCUUUCUAGUUAAGAUUGUACUCUUGAAAAUUAAAGGUACAUUAUCAAUUUACAUAUCUCACACACUUCAUACGGAUACUUCACUCUUACAGUACUACGCUAUCUAGAGCAUUCAGAAUUUCCGCAGAAGAUAACCUGGUUCUUGAAACUUUUGUCAGUCAAAGGCUAUUGACCUUUUCUUUAUGAAGUAAGAAAUUUCAUUUAAGGCACCUAGAAAAUGGAAAUUCGUACAAAAGACAGAUAGCUCCAGUACAAUGGAUGUGCAUUCUAGGAGAUUGACAGGGAGCUAACAAAUCCAAAAUUUGCAGUCAAAGACUAUUGACUAAAAGAUUGCUACUUAUAGGAGUCUUGACUAGCUUUAUUUUCUUAUUUCUUUUUCAUAUCAUUCAAUAAGAGCUAUUGAACAAGAUACUUCCAUCCCUACUAGUAGACGCACUUCUAUGACUAUGGGUACAUCGAAUAAGAAACUACAAGACACAUGCAUAACACUAUGACUAUGGGUACAUCGACAAACAAAGCACUCCUCCCUACUAGUAGACGCACUUCUACCCACUAACCCUCUACCCUAAUCCGAAACAAGACACCCACAGAUUAAUACUAUGAACUAUCUAUCCGAAAUCACAAAUAUCACCAAAACACCACAAAUAAGAACUACAAGACACGUGCAUAACACUAUGACUAUAGGUACAUCGACAAACAAAGCACUCCUAGUAAGGACGCACUCCUACCCACUAACCCUCUACCCUAAUCCGAAACAAGACACCCACAGAUUAAUACUAUGAACUAUCUAUCCGAAUAAGAACCUACAAGACACGUGCAUAACACUAUGACUAUAGGUACAUCGACAAACAAAGCACUCCUCCCUACUAGUAAGGACGCACUCCUACCCACUAACCUUCUACCCUAAUCCGCGUCCUCCACACCUUCCUAUCAAGGGUCAUGUCCUCUAGAAGCUGUAACUGCUCCAUGUCAUGCCUAAUCACAAAAGAAUAAACAAAAGAGUCAAAGUAAGUAUCCAGACCUGUAAUACUGACAAAGGAUUCAAGCGUUGCAUCUGUGUUGCCAUAUGAGAGAAAUGACCUAUAUAAGGACCUGAUAAUUUAAUCAACAGAAAAAACUGAUAUAAAUAUAUGUUAUGCACCAGAUAAGAAUCAAACUUGAAACUUUACUUCAAAUUAACCAGGCACUCAAACGAAACGAAGGAAAGAAGCCUUGAUCCCAAACUAGCUGCGGAUUGGAUCCAAGUUCUAUCUAAAAGACAGGAAAUGAAUUGACCAGUCAAAAUAGCACAGCCUGCUGCAGCAGCUUCUGAAAUAUUAUGACCAGCUGAACCUGGUAGAAAUGAACCUCCAAUCACAGCUAUUGGUGUUAGCCUGUAAAACUUUUGUAAUUCACCUAUAGAACAAAAUAAUAAGAAUAUCAAUAACUUUGUUAAUACAGCUCCACAACAGCAAGCAAAACAGAAGUAUUUCAUCCGUAAAAAUUAGUGUACCUAGUGUCUAGCUUAUGUAGGCAAAUAUCUGAAUUUACAUAUAAGGAAAUUGUUAUAUGGUGUGGAUAGGCUCAACAAAUAAGUUUUAGUUCUUAUGAAGGUAUAGAUUCUUUUGGGGUUAGAUUGUCGACUUACUUCUCAUAUGCAAACUAGAUAUUCUCUAUAGGUGAAAUACAAGGAAAAUUUGUGAGAUAACAAAAACUUCUAGCUAUCUAUACCUUGUUGAAGCAUGUGGGUCCACAUCAUGUAAAAGUUUAAUCUAGAAGAGAGAUGAGAUCAUUAAUUCAUAUGCACAGCACCCUAGUCAUACUAGACACUUUGACCCACAUCUAGAACAAAGCAUAUUAGCAACAAGAUCUAAACUCUUUCUGAUUUUCUCUUGUGUGCUUAGUUUGUUAGAAUUCACAAAAAUGUGCGAUGGAGAUCAUUCGACUAUUUCACCUGGAAAAUAAUUGCUCACUAACUUUUUUAAAGGGAAAUACAAUGGUAAAGCUUAAACAGAUCUAAACAGAAAAUCCAAGUCAGGUAGCUAGAGGAAUUUAUCAUAUAGCCAAAAGAGGUUAACCUAAUGUGUCAACCACAUAUAUGUUUGUCCCUGGCAUGAGCUUAUCAUGACGUGACCGUAAUGCUACCCUUACUCCAUCUUUCUCCAAUUCCUGCACAAGUUGAGGAAGACAACAUAAAUCCAGCCUUGACAAAAAAAGGGCGUAAUAUAAAAGUUCCAUGUUAUGAGAUAAAAGCCUCUUUGACAUCAAUCGGGAGGACUUUUUUUUUUUAUAACCGUGGUGUCUGGGCCAGCUUGCGCGCACCUCGACUAAUUCCACGGGAUACCUGCAACCUCCCAUCAACAACAGAUACCAGGUAACUCUGUCCACCAAGGCUAGAAUAGAUGAAAAGAAAUCACCUAGUGUUUGUCACUGUUGGGAAUUGAACCUGAGACCUCAUUGUGCUCAAUCCAACUCAUUGAACCACCAGGCCACACCCUUACCCUUGAGUGCAAUCCCGAGGACAUUUUUAAUGAAAAGAAAGAAGUGAAAUGGAGGUUCAUUAUGAAUGGAAACAAGUGGUUGUCGGUCCUGUCACCAGUAGAGUUUAAAUGAAUGUCCGGUCCUUAAUGGGUUUGAUUGCACUUUGAGGGGACCUAGUCUUUUUUCUGUGGAGAUACUUUUUUGAGUUUAAAUGUGGCUGGAAAUCGCCUGACCUUGAUGGAAUUUCUUCUACCAUCUCUAUGACAAACAAUUAUCCCUUCCUUUCUCAGUUCGAAUGAGACCACAGAAGAGUUUCAAUUUAAUUAUUGCCUAAAGAUGGAAAAAGUUAUACCCGUCUGACAAGCCUUUCCUUAGCCAUCCAUCUCAAAGAGUAUAAUAUCAGUGUUGAUAGCUUAAUUAGAACCUGUUGGGCAAGGGACUUCCCUAUUAGCAACUUGGGAUGGCUAAGAAGGGUUUCAUCGUCCCUAUCCAAGUCUUGGUUCAUCAUGAUCCCUCUAAAUCUUUUGGUUUAAAGUCAAAACGGAUGCUUUUCUCUGUUUAACUAACAGAAUAUGGCUUUUUUCAAGUAUUUUUAUGUUUGCUUGACAAAUUUCUUGCUCUGGAACUAUAAUGCAAUAUCAGGAACCCAUCCAACUCUUUCCUUCAUUACCCACUGGGUGGACAUGACAAUGAGGAUGAAUAUGAGCUUAAAGAACAGAUCCAGAUCAUUCAAGAGUUCAUUAGACAGUUUGAUAAAGCAUUUGAGCGUGAUCAUGGUUAUAUAACUUAGUGAUUCGGUCAAGUUAACGUUCAAAAGAGAGAAGUUAGGGCAAUUAGAGAUGGACAGAGAUAGAUUAUGAAUAAAGUAAUAAAUUCUAAUAGGCUGGAACACAAAUCAUACCAAAGCAAUUUGUUCUCCAUGCUGAGGAUGCCGAGGCACAAUGAUGGUAAUGAUAUCCGGAUGUAUUUCCUUUAGUGCGUUGUGCACUGCCAACAUAACUGCAUAUCGAUGUUGUCACAAAUCCAAUCAGAAUGCACAGCAACUUUAGUCAUAUGCAAAUUCAAAGUCAUCAGACUAUGAGUUACACUCUAUUCACUGUUUUCUGCACUAUCCCGAGAGCAGAAGGUUACUCACGUCAUAUGGAAAACCCCUCUUCACUUUACCUUUCGACUAAGACAGACACUGAUUACCAUAAAACACACAAUCAAUACAUGCAUCUUUUUAGGAAAAAAAAAGUAGAACAGAGCUCUUUUUUUAAUAAGUUAGAAGUGGAAAAAACAUGCUUAUGUUAAAUUGAGAAGUUACAAAGCGCAGACGGCCUUGAACUUUGUUAACUGAAGUGGAAUCCAAGGUCAAGCUGAACACUAAUUUCUUUUUUACUUGAACAGUGAUUGUAUGACAACAGACUUCGGAAGUUUUAUUGCUCAGUCCUAGACUCAUUCAACCAAAUAGAAGUCAUAAAUAGAGAGUUUUAAGAGUUCAGUACCCUCUUAGCCUCUCUUGAACAAUUUAGAGAAAAUUGUAAGGGGAUUAAAAAGAAACACAUACACAGAACACAGUUUGUUCUCACACAGGCCUGCAUGAGCCCAAGCUCAGACUACUACCAGGUAUAAUGUAACAGAAAAUAAGGGGCCUUUAUGAACCUCUUAUCUAACACCUUCACUUCGAGUUUGAGAUUCUUUUCAUUUCUUCAUCUCCAUGAAAAGUAACUCGAAAUUCUUUUCAUUACUUCACCUCCAUUAAAAGUAUUUAAUACAUGACAAGACACUAUAUUGCAAGAAAAUUACCUUUUUCUUCACCUUUAUGAAUAGAAGACGCCAUCCAGACCUUUCUGUUCAUAAGCUGUACCUGCAACUCUUCCAGCGCUCUUUGAUCCCCUUCAUUUGUGUCAAUGUUCCCAACAGCUAAAUGAAAAAAGACGAGGAAGUGAGAACAAGGGUAUAAUAAAUGCCUGCUCUCUGGUAAGCAGUGGUAGAUGAAACAAAUAUUUCUGAACCUGAAAAUAAAGAAGUCAUCUGUGUAUUUCUAAGGCACUAACAAGAAACAACUAAUCAUAGUAAACUAAUGGAAUAUAAAAAUGAAUUUAUUAUGAGUGUUAGUAGUUUUAUCAUAUCAUGUAAGCUAAUAAAGUCUUUGUUUUUGGCCAUACCAUACUUAAGGUCACCGCAAAAAUUUAUGAUGAAGGGUGGACACUGCAGCAGUUGAAAGCGAAUUGCCUGGGUAGUGCUCUUUAUAGAAAUAAAAAUCAGAAUUUAAAGGUAAAAGGACGUCUUUAAAAUCCAAACACUUCAAUGAUAAUAUAUGAGAUACGUACCAGUGGAAGAACCAGCAAGAAUUUAGAGAGCAUUAAUGAUGUCAGAGAAUUAAUAUACGGCUGAGACCAACUGUCAUAAGAUUUUACAGACAUUCGAGCAUUAAGCAAUGCAAGUGCAAUCUGAGUAACAAAACGGAUGAGUGUAAGCAGAGAAUCAAACAUACUACACUGACAUACAAGUGAAUACAAUGAGAAUUAAAAAGAAAAGGAACAAGAUAGAUGAUAAACCACAGAACAGGGUGUCUGGACGAUAACAAUGGUUAAACUAAAUAGUGUUCUCAUGAAAAAAUUAAAUGAAAUUGGCAUUAAAUCCUUGGCAGAAAAUAUAAGCCUUAAGACACAAAUAGUUACAAUAACAGGCAUCUCUCAGUUCAGAAGCAUACAGAAACGAUGUUUACCAACCCUAUUUUUUGCAGCACCUAUAAUCAGGUUUGGCCAGAGUUCACUUUCCAUUAACAUGAUUGCACUUGGCUUCCAAUAACGAAGGAAAGCAUCAACAGCACCAGGUGUGUCAACUGGAGAAAACUGGUAAAUUAGUAAAACAAAUACAUGUUAGAGAUGCUCCAUCUCUAUCUUCUAACUUUGGUAAGAAAACAACGUAUAAAAAUAAAUUGCUAGUCGUAAUUUUGGAUAAAAAAUUAAGUCAGUUUUAUACGUAGAAAUAGCCAGGUCAGAAGGAAAAAUAUUCAGAAGAAACAUUUGAGCACACAAAGAAAUGCGAGAACAUCAUAAGGACUCUGAAAAAUAACAGCGAGAGAUUCAUCCAGUGUGGUCAGAAGAAAGAGAGGGAGAAAACAAGCUAACAGCAUGGAAGAAGAGUCUAGGGUGUGAUCUUCUGUUUUUAGAUUUCACUACGCUUGAAAGGAAAGUUGGUGUUCUGUCGGAUAACUCAACUUAGUGACAUCUAUCAAGCAAAAUGUAACUUAUGCAUCAGUCUUAAGGAAAUAGAACAAGUACCUGAUAAAUGACAUUUUCUGGAAGCUGGUGCUUUAUUACCUCACUGUAAGAAAAAAAGAAUUAGGUAUUAAAUAUGAAUUGGCUUUUCCGCAGAGCAUGAAAAGAGAAGUGAAAAUAACGCCCACAUUAACCGGAAGUUGUUAAAUGAACAAAUUGGAAAAUACAUAUCAGUGAACAAGUUAAAGUAAAUAGCAUACUGAAAAGCACAAUAUUUUGUAUUUGCAUCAACUAAUUUAAGACACAUCUGUUGCUCAUCACAAAUAGGUCUAUUCACAUUGUUGUGAUCCAAUAAGUUAGAUAUGCACUACGAGGAAUCUCGAACAUAACUUGCCUUCCAAUACUAUUAAAAACGUAAACACAUUCUCAAAUAGGUCUUUCUUUUCUUCUGAAAAAUUGCAUGCUUGAAAGACUGGCCUUUUUCUUUGUUGCCCCAUGGCUUAGUUCAAAUGACAAAGGUUGAGGGAUUUGUGACUUAGGUCACAGAUUCAAGCCCCAUGCCAUGUGAACUACACUUGGUACCUAAGUUGAGAAGGGUGAACCCAUCAUCUCCGGGUUUCGACGACUACAGUUGGUCCUAAGGAUUGGCCCAAGACGGAUUUCUCGAACAUAAAAGAAAUAGAUUAUUUUUAAAAAUGCUAAGAACAGAUAACAACGAUAAAAGUAAAAAACUUUCUCUGCAGACAAUCAGGUUUGCAUUCCUAAAGCCAGUGAAAAGACAAGUAAUAACUCACAAAUCAAUACACUAAACUGGAUUGUUAAAAUCAAGGAUGUCUCGUGUCAUUAUUUUUACCAUAAUCACAUGAAUUACCUCUUUUCAGACAUUUCCCCAAAACCUUCCAUUUUUUGCAGAAGAAAACUAAACUGUAGCUGUUUAUAACAAAGGAUUAAAAUAAAAGUAUUAUAGACUUUGAAUUCGAACUGAAACUUACAAUGCUGAUGUGGUGGUUGUCGUCAUCAAGACAGUUACAUCAGGCCUCCUCUCUAUGCAGCAUUUGAUCACAGGAAUCGCACACAUUCCUUCACCUAAUUCCACAUAGUAACAAACAAAUUAAGAUAACAUUUUCAAAUUAGGAUGAAAAAGGAAAAUGAAACAGACAAAUAAUAUGAGUACUCUCUCUGUCCAAAUUUAUGUGCACGUUUUCUUUUUUUGUGCGUCCCCAAAAAGAAUGUCAUUUUUCUACAAUCAGAUAUAAUAUAACUCUAAAAUUCAUCUUUAACCCUUACUGAAAUGAUUUAUUGCCACAAAUGGCUAAUAGCUUGUUUGGCCAAACUUCUAAAAUUGACUUAUUCUUUAAAAAAAAAGUACUUUUGUACGAAACAGUUUGUGUGGCCAAUAGUUUUAAAAGCACCUCUGCGCAUCAAUUAGUGUUUGAUUAAACUUUUUAAACGUGUUUAUAAUGUAUUUUUCUCAAAAGUGUUUUUCAACAAAGUGUUUCUAGGGAGAAAAUACAUUUUUAGUUUCUGAAAAACAGCUUCCACUACUCUCCAUAAGCUCUUAUUUUCUUCCAAAAGCUUGGCCAAACACGUCACAUUUUUUUAUUUAUACUUAGCACUUUUAAACUAAGUAUUCUUUUCUAUUUUUAACUCUGUGCAAAGAUGAGAGAAUCACAUAAAUUGAGAGGAAGAGAGCAUAGAUCAACAACUUGAACAACAAUUACACAGUACACAAUCAUCUAAUUACAAGUAUAUAUACGAAUACACGCAUUCUGAUAUGCAUAUGAGUCUCUUUGCUUGUGCGCCUGUGCAUGGAAUAGAAAAUAGAGAGUAGUGUGUUUGGAUGGUUGUUACCCAUCAUAUUGUAUUGUAUUGUUACUAUCAUUAUCAUGUUUGUUUUGAUUGUUACUUAAAUCUUCGAUCGUUCCAUCACUAAAACGAUAUAAUCUAUCCAACCAUUGUAUUCAUUAAAACAACACAACGGAAAAGAGACAAAUAUACUCCUAAAUUGUGAUAAAUGAUAUGUAUACAUCCUUCAUCAUACUUUGGGUGCACAUAUGCCCUACCGUUAGUGUGAGGGACAUAUACGCACCAUUUCAUUAAGGAUAUGAACAUAUGCAGGGGCGGAGCUAGCUAAUAGUGAGGGGAUCCGAACCCCAUUCGAUGAAAAAUUAUACUAUUUAUACAAGUUUAAAAUUAUUUUUUAUGUAUAUAUAGCAGAUGUUGAACCCCUUCGACUAGUUAUUUUGUUCACAUUUUUCGAUUUUGAACCCUUAAUUACGAUGUUGGCUCCGCCACUAGGCAUAUGUGUAUACAAAGCAUGAUGAAAGGAAUUUACGUACCAUUUAUGGAUAUCUUUGUCCCUUUUCCAUUAGAACAAUAAAAGUACUAUACACUACAAUAAAUUAUCCAAACAGAUGUGUAAGUAUAUAGACAUGAUUAAAAAAAAAAGAGGGAGAAGGAGAGUGACCAAGUGAAACAGCGUGGAACCAGAAGAGAGGUCCAGGGGGCCGAGAGUGAGAAGGGACGCCCAAACGCUCGCGCCAGCGAAGAGCAUGUUCAAGGCCUCGGAGUUUGCGCCACCGCAGGUGAAGAUGAAUAAGCGGCGAUAGUCCAUAAGUUAACGCUCUGUAUAUUCUGUAUACAAAUUCACCUCUCUCCAUUCCCAUUUUUACUAUUCUUCUGACCUAGCUAGCUGUGUUAGACUAUUAACACUGCCCAUUUGUGAGGGAAGGGAAAACAAAGAAAACCAAAAAAGAAAAAAAUAAAUCAUUUGGAGCAGGAGUUAGAAUUUAAGUAGCCGUUUCUCAUCAAAAUUACUUUUUAUCGAGUUGAGUGGAGUUGGAGUUGGAGUUGGAGUUCAUCAUAUUUUUUUAAUUUUUAGACUUUUGAAAAAAAAAUUAAAUAUAAUUUUAUGUCCUCAACUUUGAAAAAUUAUCAUCAGCUACUAAUUUACCUACUAACAUAUAAUAAAAUGUUCAAAAAAUAAUUUAUAUGUCUUUAAUUGAUAAAAUAAUUAACAACAAACUAAUUAUUAUGAUUGUUACUCUUCUAAAAUUUGAAUAAAAAUAUCAUAAACAUGAACUAAAUAAUUUUAUCUAACCAUAAUCGAUUAAAUAAAAAAAAUAUAUUUUGAUAAAUAUGAUUGAUGGAUAUAAAUAUAUUUUAUAUAUUCUUAAAUUUGUUGAUGAAAAUUCUUAAUUAAUUUCAUUUAAAUUAAUUAUUUUAUUGAAUUUGGUCUUUUAAAAAACAUUUACGGAUGAAUUCUUUAUGAAUAGAUUAAUACUAAUUUUUUGUUUUUUCUUUAUUGAUGAUAUUGAUUUUCCUUGAAUAUUAUUGCAUCGUAAAUAUGAAUCGUUACGUUAUGUUUGAUGAGGGACUUUAUUGACCACUUUUUAAUAAUUUAUUAAAAUCAUAAUAGCCAUUAUAUGACAUAUACAGAAAAUUAUAAUGGCAAGAAAAAAUAUUAAAAAUUUCUCAUUUUCCGCCAUAAAUUGCCAUUUAUUAUAUUUUACUUCACGUUAGUAAAUUUUGGUUAAAAGAAAAAAAAAUAAUUAGAAUAUCUGUAACAAUUAAAAAUGAUGUUGUACCAUAGAAAACAAAUAAUAAUUUUUUUCUUGGUGGCUGGUUGUAGUUAUAAGAGAGGUUUGCGUAAAAAUUUAAAAAUAAGGGUUAUAUAUAAUAAUAAUGAAAGUUGGAAAUGGAAGUGAAAAAUUGUGAAAACAGCAAAAAUUUAUUUUCACUUUUUGGAAUCCAACUCUGGAAUAAUUUUUAAAAUUUUCAUGGCCAAACACCACAAUUUUCGGAAAAAUGAAAAAAUAAAUCAGAAAAAAGGAAAAAAAAUUUAUGGAGAAACAGGCCGUAAAUGUAAUUUAAAAAAAAACAAGUAUAAUUUAAAUAGGUUAUUUUAUGAAAAUAAAAAUUUAGUAUUUUUCUAAAAAAAUUAAAAUAUGAAAACAGGAUAUUGGCUGUUUUCCAAAAUCUAAUUACACUAUAUUUGAAAUUUCAUGGUCAAACAUUCAUUUUUAACUCAAGUGAAAAGAAAUUUUGGAAAAAAAGUAAAAAAAAAUCAUGGCUAAAUGGAAGAAAAAUUUUUUAUUUACAACAUUUUACUUGACAAGUUUAAAAUUAUAAAAUUUAAAUGAUUGUACACAUUUUUAAUUUAAGAUCAUAAAAUUCAAAAGUCUUUCUUUAAUUUUUUUAAACUUCAUACUCGGUGAAGAUGAGACCUUAUUUAUGUUCAUUAUAAUUAAUACAUCUGAAUUUGAAUAUUCAUCUGAAUGAUAAAGAUGUUUCUAAUCUGAGCAUUUAAUGAUCUAAAUUGUUUGUUUUUCAACAUCUGAAUUGUCAUAACUUAGUUAUUCAUGAUCAUAAUAAGAUAUUUAAUUUCAAAUAAAAAAAGUAUUAUAUAUUAAAAACAUAAAUAAAUAUAUUAAAAGAAAAGAAAAUGAAAUGUUUAUGUCCAUUGGUGAUGGUGAAAAUUGUUGGUCUUACGUUCCUGGCUAAUAAGAUGGUGAUGGUAGUUGUGAUAGUGGACACAUUUAGUGCUAGGGAAAAGUUAUCAUUUACACCUUAAACUAUAUUCGAAAAGUCGCAAACGCAUUCAAACUAUUAAGUAAAUUUAUUUUCACCCCAAAUGCUGAUGUGGCAACAAAAUUUAAAAAAAAAAUAAAAAAUAGCACGUGUAGGAGUAAAAUUUGAAGAAAAAAGGAUUAGAAAACAUUUUAUCCUUCAUAGACAUCCCUAAGCCACUUCUUCAUUCCUUCUUCUUGACAUUUUUAUCUUCUCUUCUCCUUAUUUUUUUUCAAAAUCACUUUAUUUCUUUUACUAAUUAAUCGAUUACAUAUUUUUCACCAUUCUCCGCCUUGAGCUUGAACAAAAAUUUUAAUGGUGAUAAUAUUUAGUGAUGGAUGGUAAAAUUGAUUAUUUUUGAUAAUUUACAAUACAAUUUGUGCAAUUUUUGUGGUGGAUGAUGAGCUUUGUGGUUGAAAUUGUGCUUAAAUCCGAUGAUGGCAACGAAGGUAGAUCUGAUGGAGGAUGAUUUUGAUCAUGGGGUGAGUUUCUUAAUACUGCAAUUAAAUACUAAUUGAAGAAUUUGCAAUGCUAGAAAGUUUCACAUUAACGCUUUGAACAAAAGAAAGAGAGAAGAUGAAGAAUGAGUCUAUUUUUUGGCGAACUCCAAUGGUGAAUUUUAGUAAAUAUAUAGUGAUUCUUUAUAAUUUUGUUACGGCGACUAUGUUUAUGGAAUGAUUUCGGCAGUGAAUUUAGUUUUUGGUAGUGAAUCUAUGGUGGUGGAGAUAUGAAUCUGAAGAUGACGACAGCGACGAUCGCGAUGAUUUGAUGGAGAUUCAAUUAGGUGACAUGAAUUUUUUUAUAAAUAAAAUCUGACGAAAAUCUAAUUUGGCAGUGAUGUGGCGCGAGUGUGAAUCGCUUUCCAUCAUGUGAUUGGUUGUAGGUGUGUAAGGGUGGACAUAAAUUCACUUUUAUAUAGUUGAGGUGUGUAAGAGGACGUCAUAAUAAUUUGAGUGUGUCUUCGACUUUUUAAAUAUAGUUUAAGGUGUAAAUGAUGACUUUUUUCUUUGGUGCUAUAAUAACUGACAUGAUAGUGAUGAUUGAUAGGUGAAGUUGGUUGUUGUUGAUAGCUAGAAAUGUUAAUGGUUGUGAUUAAAGAAUGUGUGGUGGUAGUUGAUGGUGGAUAAAGUUGGAGGUAAUGCUAGUUGUGAUGGCAAAAAUAGUUGGUGAUAACUAAAAGUUGACCAUAAUGAUAAUAGUUGUUGAUAUGGUGGCGUAGAUGGUGGGGCGGUAACAAAGAUGAUGAUGACAAUGGAUAUAAUUACAAUUUUUGAGGUCAUAGACAUGAUACAGUAAUAGAUGACAACGAUGGGUGUGAUGCUAAGAUGGUGGUAGCUAGUUGAUGGCAGUUAUUAUGAUAGUUGACAAUGAUAGCGGCAAUUGGGUGAUUGGUGGUGAUAAUAACUGGCUAUGAUGAUGAUAGUUGAUAAUGGAAUGACGUUUGUGGUGACAGAGGUAAUUAUUGUUGGUGGUUAAUGAUUGUAGACAGGAUAGUACCUGAUUGUGGAUGGAAUAGUACAAAAAAUUAUUCGAAUAAAAAUACAUCUUAAUAUUAUUAAGAUCUAUUCAAAUUUUAGCUAGAUUGAAAGUUAUUGUGUUGAACUAUUUAGCAAACUAUAAUUUGUCAAAGAAGAGUGAAGAGCGCCAAGGCAACCUCAAGUCAUCCUCCAUGAUAAGAGAAGGUUCGAUUCUAACAUGCUGAAUAAUUUAAGAAAAAUUACUGAAAACAACGCCUUUAGUUUUAAUAUUACUUAAAGUCUCACUCCACUAAACUAAUUACAAAAAAAAAAUUCUAAGUAAUUGAAGACCCUUAUUUUCAGAUACAUUACUACCCACUCCUUUACACAAUUCAAUAUUUGUAAAUUUUCGUCCAAAAUCACGGUAGCAAUGCCGCAAUUGACGCCAAUUACCUAGUUUGAAUCACAAACAUGUUCUCCUCUACUCCAUCAACAUUGAAGUUUCAACUUCCACAUACAAUCUCCAUUAACUUUCCUCUUUAAAUUUAUUUUGGAGGAUAGUUUGUUUUAAUUAUGUUUUUACGUUUAUUAGUUCAGAAAUUGAAGCUAAUUUAUUUAAGAUUUUCUAUUCUUUAACCACUUAACUUUACUAGUUUAGUGUACGUGCAUUGCACGUGUAUGUUACGUUAAUAAUAUUAAAUUGAAUACUAUAACAACUUAAAAAUCCUUAAUAUUGUUGUAAGUCUACACAUUUUUUUGAUUUUUAAUAAUGCUUUUCACCACAAUUUUUUUUAUACCCAGCCUACAUGAUUUUAACUAGAUGGAACAAUAUUAAUGAAUGACCCCAAAUACAUAUUUAAUUAAAUUUAAAAUUAUUAUAAUUCCAUUUUUAAUCGAAAUAGAUCAUAUUUGUUUAAAUGCGUAAAUUUGAAAAAUUAUAUUUAAGUAAAUGAUUUUAAAAAAAUACACUUUUAUCAAAAUUCUUCAGAAAAUAUUGUCAAAUAACAUAAAUUUUAAAAAUUGAGCACAUUGCUUUUUUAGAAAUAUGAGAAUAGAAAGAUUAGUCUUUCAACUUCUAUCAAAGUAAUAGCACUUUGAAUGAAUAAUUUGUUAAUUCAAAUAAUAGAGGAAGAAAUCUGAAACAAACUAAAAUAGUUAGUGCAAUCCUAUGCCGAGAAUAUUACGGUGUCACACAAUAAGCUUACUUUUAGACAUCUAAUAAGAACAAAAGAAAAAAAAAGAAGCAAAUACUAUUCUCCAGUAAUUCAUGUUGUCAUUCUUGAGAGUUAAAAUAAACAAAAUUUUAAAUUUUCUUAUAUGGCAAAUAGUUUGCAGCGUGUUGUUCGGAUCUAUAAACUAAACAAAUAGUUGGUCCUUUUUGUCAAUCAACUUAGAUGAAGAAAUCUGCAAGUAAAGGUAAAGUAGUCGUCAAUUAUUGAAAAUAAAGACUAUUUUUAUAGGUGAAGGAGAAAACAAUGAAACUAACUUUAUCGAGGAUACCUCUACGCCUAAAGACUCUUUAAUUUUUAAAAUAUAUUUCUCAAUCAUUAAUUUUCCCAAUAUCGCCUGUCAUAUAUUUUUUUCUUACCAUAAUUUUAGAUGUCUUAAUUUGUAAAAUAUAUUUUUCUGUUAUCAUGUAUUUUAGUCUCAAAGUUGGCAAGUAAAAAGAACACCUCAAAUAAACUUGACGUAGACCGGUGAAUCUAAAGUUUAGUGAAAUAUAUCUUAUCCUAGAAAAAACUUUAUGCAUGAUCACAUAAACAGAAGGGAAGCCAAUACCUUCCUCCAAAAAUGUUCGACAUGUCAAAUAAAGAGGACAGUUACAUAUAGAAAAGUGCAUAUUCCCACUGUUUGUCCCAACAAUCAUCUGCAUGUAGUCACCAAUUACCAACUGCUUUUCGGGGUAUAGUGGAUGCGAUUUACCACCUAUGGUAUCUAUAUUUUUGAUCUAUAUUGUUCGGACUCUUCAAAAAUGUUAUCGAAUAUUUGUCAAAUCCUUCAAAAGUGUUGAUCUUUUAAGGGGCCAAAAUGAGUGCAACAACUUUUCUGCACAACUUAGCUUUCGAUAAGUCACACAAUGGGAUGAAGCUCAACAAAUAUGAUAAAAGUAUUCAUAAUUUCAUGAACCGAUGCAUGCACAAGUUCGCAGAAUUGAAGGAUGGCCAAAACAAUUAGAAAAUUAUAUGAGUGUUACAUAAUUAAGCAACAGGUAAAUAAAUACUAUUAAGUUAUAGAACCAAAAAUCAAAAGACAAACUCAACUUAAAUUCGAAAUAUCUAAACUUGUGAUGAGAAUUGUUGAUGCAGUACUGGUUGAGACUUGAAAUGAGACAGAGAGAAUACAGGAAAAAGUGUAUCUGCUUUAACAAUUCCAUCAUAAUAAGAAUUCUAAACAUCAUAUUGUAUAAUAGUCAUACUCAUAUAACACCAAAUACUUAGGUAAAUGAUACGUAAGAUAAGUAUCCUAUGAUAUAUAUCCUAUUAAUUAUGUAUAAUCUGCUUGCGUGUUUCUACCAAUUGUAUUUGUGCUUAUAGGCAUAUGAUGUAUGUCACCUGAUGGAGUAGUGAUUUAUAGGUGCGUGGGAGAUAUAUAUGACCCGUCUUCUUAUUGGGCAACUCUAUUGCCUUUUUAACUAUGCCUUCUUCAGCGAAUAGUACUUAAUGGAGAAGCUUGUUUUAAUUAUCGUUAAUUGAUAUAACUCUUCUAUUAUUGUGCUUUUCUAACCCUUCAUAUUGGGAAGGUUAAUGUGGGAAAAGUAAGAACCAUCAAAAUUAACUCUAAUUUCACGUCAUAACAAAAUAACGGAGAAACCUUCACCAUUGUAACUUUAUGCGUUAAUAAAUUCAGAAAAUAAUAUAGUAAAAAAACAAGAAAAAAGAAAACUUUAACUAAAUUUAUUCUUGGCAAUUACAAUUACCAAUUAUGUCUUUUUUGAUGUUUGCAUUAGUGUCUCCAAUCCUUCAUCUCUAUAUAAUGUGCAAACGAUAUUAAAGAGAGUAUCAUGUAACAAGGGGCUUUGGGCUGUUCGUGACAAACGAGUUUUAAAAUGAGGUGUAUGUGACACAAGUCUUAAUUAUUGAGUGGGGGUGACAAUUACUUUAUCAUGGAUUAAGAAAAUUGGAGAAGUUUGAAAACAACCCACAAGAUUUUAAAUUUACACUUUGAUUUAAAUGUUUACCUAUAUAAUGAAAAAUGGAGAGAAAAAAAGGUGUUUUUCUCUCUCCUCUUACCCCUUGUUGUUUUCUCUUUCUUAGAAAUUUUUGUUGUUGCUUUAUUCAUCAUCUUCUACUUCAUUAUCAUCUUCAAUUCAUCUUCUUCUUGUUGACCAUUUGUUAUUGUUGUUGUUGUUACCGCUACUGUUGCUAUUUGACCAAUUACUUAGGUCAAAUUUUGUUUCGAACAUCACUUUCUACUUUGGCAUUACUUCAUAUGAAAUCUUGGUAAGUCAAAUUAUGAUUUUUAGUUGAAUUUGUCAUCUGGGUAACUGCUAUUGUGUUGUUGUUUUUCCAAUAAUGGAUAGAACCCGAUCCCGAAUCCAACAUAAGAUUCAUCUGUUUGAACAGAUAAAUCAUCUGUUGCGACAGAUGAGAUAUCUGUUUCAAUAGAAGACUGAUAUGUUGGAUUCAUGUUUAAACAAAUGGGUAUCUGUUACAACAUUUGACAUAUCUAUUGCAACAGAUUAGUUAUUUGGUGCGACAUGAUAAAUAUCUGUUUCAACAGAUUAGUAACCUAUUGCAACAGAACCUGAGCACGAUUCCAACAGAAGUGUUGUCUAUUGCAACAGGGUAAAUAUCUAUUACAACAAAUUACUAAUCUGUUGCAACAGGUAAGUCAUCUGUUGCAACAGGUUAAUUAUCUGUUGCAACAUGUCACUCAUCUGUUAGAAUCAUCUUCAAAGGUAAUUUGGUACUGUAACAUCAAUCCUAACAGGUGCUUCAUCUGUUGCAACAGAUAUUCAGAAGUGUAACAUGAAUCCCAACAGGUAAGUAAUCUGUUGCGACUGAUCACUUACCUAUUGUAACAGAUUACACAUCUAUUGGGAUUCUGUGAAAUCACUAUCAACUUUUUUUAACAAAUAACUUUAUUUAGGUACCACUAAUGGAGGGAUCAAUAAAAAUAGGGGUGGAUUGUUAUAGUCAAUGGAUCGAGAAGAGCAAUUAAUAUAUAUGGCGUUGGAAGGAGGGUAAAAUGCUAAAGACGAUAGCUAUGACAGUCCAAAGUGAUGUUUCGUAUGAUGAUUUUGUAAACUUAAUCAUCAACUUUUGUGAACUGAAUUAUCAAUCGGAAGAACUCGCCAUUAGCUACAUGCACAACUUCUUUGAAAAUCAGAGGGUACUGUCUUUCAAGAUAACCGAUUAGGUUCGGUUGCGUGCUUAUCUAAGUGAUUCAACCUGGCCGGUGUUAAGGGUGUACACGGUUGAAAAGACAAGAGAGAAUGAGAACUAAAACGUAGAAGUAGAAGAAUAAGAAGACUUCUGUGAUGAUAGGUUGGAUGAUUUAGACAUGAAUAUUCCAGAUGAUGAUCAAAUACCUACGCCCGUUGAUGCAGCCAAUAGAUGUCCAGUUCUUCUCAAUCGACAUAGUCUGGAAAUCUUCAAGACGAUGGGACCGACUUUUUUAUUAGAAUGUCAUUCAAGGAGAAGAAUGAACUAUCUAACACUUUAUUUAUUUCUUGCUUGAAAAAAGAUUUCAGAAUAAAGAAGGUGAUUAAUUCGAGCAGUGUCUUUUGCUUCAAAUUUUCUAAUUCGAACUGUAAGUGGUGGUUGAGAGCGGUGAAGUAAGCAAGUUCUGACAGAUUCGUCAUUUAUAAACAUGAAAAGAAUCACACAUGUGGUUUGGAGCACAUCUCGGGCCAAAAUCCUCACGCCACGGCAAAGGUCCUCGGUGAAUAUUUCAGGAGUAGUUUCCCCGAUGGCAAAGGCCCUUCAACAAGGGUUAUGGCCAAUCAACUCCUUACAGAUUUGCGUGUGCUGUUCAGUUAUUGGAAGAUAUAUACAGCCAUGGGGAUUGCCAAGGACUUGGUUAGGGGGACACUCGAGCAUGGGUAUGCAGUCCUAGAUGCUUACCGUUACAUGAUUGAGUCCACAAAUCCCGAAAGUAAGACGACAUUGCAUCUGGAUGAAAAUGAAAGGUUCAAGUACUUUUUUGUAUCCUAUGGUGCUUGGAUUCAAGGUUUUCGAUAUUUCAGAAAAGGUAUAUCCAUCAACGGUACCUUCUUGAGGAGCAGGUAUAAUGGAGUACUGCUAGCGGUGGUGGCGCAGGAUGCGGAGAAUCACAUCUUUCCUGUCACUUUUUGUGUAACGGUUAAGGAAUGUGAUGCCUCUUAUGAAUUUUUUUUUGAACAACUGCGAAGCUGCAUCGAAGAUACCGAAGAGUUGUGUUUUGUAUCGGAUAGGCAUCUAAGUAUUCCAAAGAUGGGUUCACUUUUCUUCACUUCAAAUUACUUUGGUUGUUGCAUCAGGCAUCUUGUAGAGAACAAUCGAAACAACUAUCACAACGAAAGGGUCGUCACCCUUUUUUAUAGAGCAGCUAAAGCAUAUAUUAGAGAGGAGUUUUUAGACCAUUUCAAUCAAAUAGCGAAUGUAAAUCCCAAGAUAGCAGAAUUUCUUGCACGUGUUUAUUUCGAGAGAUAGAGCCGAGCAUUCUGUCCAGCAGAUAGGUACAUUCUUAUGAAUUUAAUGUCUUGUUUGAUUUACAAGUUUAGUAUGAUUUCGUACUAAGUGAUUCUUUUCAAUAGGUACAAUAUUAUGACAUCAAACAUAGCUGAAUCGGUGAAUUCAUUGUUUGGCUAUGAAAGAGAAUUUUCAAUCAAGGCUGUGUUUGAAAAAAAUAAGCAAGAACUAUAGCAAAUUUUUUAACGAAAGACGUGUGUAGUUCAAGUGCCCAGAAAAAAGAACCCAAUUUGUUCUCAAAAUAGAAAAAAAAUAUCAACGAACACCAGUUUGGGGAAUAGGUUAUUCUCUCAUAAAAUAGCAUAUUACAAAUUCAGUAUCACCGGUCAUGGUGAUGCUGCCACGGUCGAUCUUCAAACAAGAUCUUGCAUGUGUAGAGUUUAUGACUUGGACAAAAUACCUUGUCCACAUGCUAUGGCAACGCUUCGAGCUCAAUACGGUCAUAAAUAUGGAUCUGAAGUUUACGAGCACUCCUCUCAAUAUUAUUCGGUGGAAAAAUAUAAAAUGACAUAUGUGGGCAUAUUACUCUGGUGCCUCUUGAAGAAUCUUGGGUUGUUCCUGCAGAGCUUAAUAGGAGAUUAAUACCUACUCCAUACAUUGACCCAAGUACUAUCAAACCGGGAGGAAAGCCAUAUAAGAGGAGGCGUGGAGUUGGAGAAUCAUUUUCAUCAAGAAGAAACAAGUGUUCCAUAUGAAAGUGUGCUAGCCACAAAAGAACUACAUGCCUGAAUCGUAAUCCACCAUGAUCAUUGUAAUUACAGAAACUUUUGUUGUUGUGGACUUUUAUAUAUUUAACUCAUUGUUGUGAAACUAAUGUUAUCAUUUAUUAUAUAUAAAAUAUCUUUUUUAAUAACUUGUUCAUCAAUAAAAAGAGGCAAAACAUGAACUAAAUAAUACAGCAAAUCACAAUUAUUCUCAACAGUUCCACAAACUGGAAUGUUUUUCUCUAACAGAUGACAAAUCUGUCGAAACAAAUGGAUAAUCAGUUGACAGAAACCCAAAAGAUAACCAAUCUGUUCCAACACACGGUCUAUCUGUUGAAAGAACUCAAAAGCCAAAAUUGCUAGUGCUACUGAAUUCAACAUUGCUCCUUGCCUCCAACCGUCUAUAUGUUAACAUGUAUGUAUGUUUAGAAUAGAAGAAAUAAACAAAAUAAAAAUUGAAUAAGAAUUAAAAUUCCAAAGUCGACUAAAAGAAAAAUUUUCAUUAAACGAAAAAUAAAAUACUUUAGGUAUAGAUCCGAUUUAGAAAAACUAAAAUACAUCCGCUAAAAGAAAAAACACAUUCUAAUUAUUGUUAUCAUCAUCAUCAUUAUUAAUAAUAGUCGGCCAAUCAAAUCGCAGCAGCAGGGCCCUCAUCAGCCUCUGCAUCUCUCUGAACAUCGUCGCUCUUACAGUGACCAACUCCCUCUGCAGGUCAUUAACCUGCCUCUGAAGUUUUUGCACUAUGUCGCGUAGAAUAGCAAUGUCCGGAACAGGAUCGACCAUAUCUAGAAUACGCAUGAAUUGAGAAAUAUAAAGAAAAAAGUCCAAAAUAUAAUACAACGUAUACGACCAACUGAUAAAUUUACACCAGAAAAAAACUUACCUCAACGAGAAAGGAAUAUGCUCUUUGAAGAGAAGUGGUUGAAGAUGUCACACGAAAAGAAAAAAUGCAAGAAAUAAAUAAAGUUGAGUAGAAUAAAGAUUAAGGAGGGACCUAUUUAUCGAGGAUUGAAUCUGGACGUGUCAGGCUAAAAGGCACAACUGUUCAACUCCAUUGUAUUAAUUAUAUUUCAAACUUGGUGUCAAUUUAUUUUCUAUGAAAAGUCACGACUUUUUCUUUUACAUUAAUACUUCUUACCUUUUCAAAAUGGUUUAAGACUCGAUAAUAGCCGUUAUUAUUGAGUUGUUGCAACAGAUCAUCAUCUGUCGCAACAGAUUUAGCAUCUGUUGCAACAGAUGGAUUAAAUGUGCAACAUAUGGUCUAUCAAAACGGAUUUACCAUUUGUUGCAACAGAUGGUUUAUAUAUGCAACGGAUGAGACAGCUGAUACAACAUAUGUAUUAUCUGUUGCAACAGAUGGACCAUAUGUUAGAAGAGAUAUUUUGAUUUCUUCUAACAGCUAAUUCAUCAGUUUCAAUAAAUAGAGUAUUCGGUUCAUUAGCUGUUUUGAAUGUGUUACAUAGAAAGUCACGACUCUUCACCUCUUUUUAAUAGUCCCUCCGUUUCGUAUUAGUUAGGCCCUAUGGGCUUGGCACACCAAUUAAGAAAAAUACAAAUUAGGUGAUUAUUUUACCAAAUUAGCCUUAUUAAUUAUGCUUUGAAAGUAUAAAUGUGAAUUAUAUACUUUAUGUAGUCAUUUAAGAAUAGGGGUAAUCUUGGAAGAAUAUAAUAAAAUUCUCUUGAUUUUAUAAAUACGACAACUAAAUUGAAACAAACAAUUUUAGCAAGAAGUAAUCACAUGUGUGCAGAUGAAUAAACACAGUCUGAUCUGUCGUAACAGAUUUAUCAUCUAUUACAACAUAUGGAUUAUCUGUUAUGACAGAUGGACCAUAUGUUGGAGAAGAUAUUUUGAUUUCUUCCAACAGUUGAUUCGUCAGUUGCAACAGAUGGAGAUUUUGACUCAUCAGCUAUUUUGAAUGUGUUAAGAUAAAAAGUCACGACUCUUCACACCUUUUUUUUAAUAGUCUUCACAUGCGUGCAGAUGAAUAAACAACACCGUCUGACAUGUUUCGAUGGGGUAGAAAGAAUAAGGUGCGUGCAAUGGAUCCCAUUUUCACGCGUGUGAGUUAUGUAUAUUAUUGAUCAGGCUACCGUGACAGACACACAUAAAGUGCAAUGAUUUUGUGAAUGCAAUUUUUACCAAUUAGACAUUGAUCCUUCAAACAAGAUCCUACAUUGUACAAUUUAGUUUGAUAGGUGCAAACUGAUAUGGUCGGAGGGUUCCAAUACGGUGAUGUCGAUACCCCAUUAUAAUUUAAUGACAAUUUAUGCUCAUGUUUUUGUAUCAAGUUUGGGGAAGGGUUCAAGUUUUUGGCGGCAGUGUAAAUAUCCAAUAGUGAUUGGACCGGUUUUAAUGGCGCAAUAGACUUCUUGAAAGGCCUCCGAAGCCUCGCAAUAUAGAAAACAAUGAUGGAACUAAUAGAAAUUCCCCUAGUCCAAAUUUAAAUGGAUAAGUUAUUGGAGGAGACUAUUAUAAAGUAAAAGGUGUUUGGGAGAAAACUUGUGCGGGAUGAGGGAGGUUGAGAAGGCCAUAUAUCAUCUCAUUCCUUAUUUAAGAGGAAACACAGAGUAGGAAGGAUAGUGUAGUGAAAUUGUCCAAUGAAAUUGACAUGAAAAACAAAAAAAUUGGAUGAGCUUCAAAUGUGAAAGUGUAUCCAAAUAUAAAAAUUCGUCAGUCGAUGAGAAAAAGUAAGAAUGGUCAACAGGACUGGAGCUGGACACUUUGCUCGAGAAUGCAACUAGCGAGCGCGACCUCAAUGAAGACUCUCACAAAGUACAGGACCAGAACUCUAAGAAAGAAGCUUCGCGGUCACGGAAGAUGGUAAGAUUGUCGGUCAGAAUUGAAACUUGAACCAACAACUCCUGAAUUUAAAAUACGGGAAGCUAAGGCAUCAGUUUCUGAAGUCUAACUUGCAUGUCAUGUCUUCUGUUUGUGGCUAUGAUCAGGUCAAUGGCAGUAGAAAUAAAAAGGUCCAAAGUUGGGCCAAAAUCUCAUGCCUUGUUGUUUUCACUGCCUUUGACCUGACCAAAGCCAUAAACAGGAGGCAUGGGAUACAAGUUUAACUUGAGAAAUUUCCACCUUGGCUUGAUACCGUAUUUUUAAUGCAGGAGUAGUUGGUUCAGGUUUCAAUUCAGACCGACAAUCUUACCACCUUCCGUGCUCGCGAAGCUGCUUUCUUAGAGUUUUGGUCCUGCAUUUUAUGGGUAUUCGUUGAGACCGCGCUCACUAGUUACAGUCUUUAGCAAAGUGACCAGCUCAAUUCCUCUUAACCAUUCUUCUUUUUCUUCAACGACUGAUGGGUUUUCAUUUUUGGAUACAUUUUUACAUUCGCAGCUUAUCCAGUUUUUUUAUUUUUCAUGCCAAUUUCGCUACGCUUUCCUUCCCACCCUGUGUUUCCUCUUAAAUAAGGACUGAGAUGAUAUAUAGCCUUCUCAACCUCUCUCGUCCCACACAGGUUUUCUCCCAAACACCUUUUGCUAUAUAAUAGUCUCAUCCAAUAGCCCAUCCAUUUAAAUUUAGACUAAGGGAAUUUCUAUUAGUUCCAUCGUUGUUUGUUGCAACGCGAGGCUUUGGAGACCUUUCAACAAGUCCAUUGAGCCAUUAAAAUCAUUCCAAUCACUAUUGGAUAUCUACACUGCUGCCAAAAACUUGAACCCUUCCCCAAACUUGACACAAAAACAUGAGCAUAAACCGUCAUUAAAUUCUAACGAGGUAUCGACACCACCGUCUUGGUCCCUCAGCCUUACCAGUUUGAACCUAACAAUCUUAACUGUAAAAUAACAUAUCUUGUUUGAAGGAUUAACGCCUAAUAGGUAAAGAAAUGGUUCCAUCUGCAAUACAUAAUUCGUAAUAAAUACCUCCCAUAUAUGAAGUGGUUCCAUCUGCAAGCAGCUUAUUCCUAUGAAACCAUCUUUACUCUAGCUUUUAAUGUUGGUCGGGCAAAAGUGGAUCCAGUUUCACUUCCUUUUUAUCUGCAAACAAGAGAAAUACAUUUGAUGUCAAAUAAGAGAAGAACAAAAAGAAUAUUACAAAAGAAUAACACAAAAUUGAGUGAAUCAAUAUAUGACUAAUCUGAUGCAACAGAUUACCCAUCUGUUCAACCAAUGAGGUAUCUGUUGCAACAGAUGGAUGACAUAUUGGAAUGGAUGGUUCAUCUGUCGGAAUAAAUCAAAUCGGUUUUGCUACUGGUUUGAUUUCUUCAAACAGUUGCUCUAUCUGUACAAAAGGGUAACAUAAAAAUGAGUGAAUCAACAAAUGACCAAUAUGAUACAACAGAUUACCCAUCUGUUCAACCAAUGAGGCAUCAUUGUAACAUAUGGAUGGCAUGUUGCAACAGAUGGGUCAUUUGUUGGAAUAAAUCAAACCAGCCUUGCUACUAGUUUGAUUUCUUCAAACAGUUGCUCCGUCUGUUCCAACAGCUAAUUCAUCAGUUGCAACAGUUGAGAAAACUGUUGCAACACCACCACCACCAACAACAACAACAAAAAAAAACACCAUAUGUUCCAACACCAUCCACAACACAAACAUCACAUGUUCCAACACGACCACCACCCCCCAAUAACAACACUACUAAAGUACCAAAUAAAAGACAUAAAAAAAACUAUACUGACAACAAGACUUUUUAAGUUCUUCCAACAGAUGACUUUUUUUGCAUAUUUUAAUAAAAAUAAUGGUUUGUUCAUUCAAAACUUAAAAUUCACCUUUCCCUCAUUUUUCUCAAUAAAUAGAAAACUGGUAAUGGGUAAAUCAUUAAUAGCAACAGAUGUAAAUAUCUAAUUUAAAUGACAUACAAAGAAGAAGACGAGAUGAAAAGAACAUUAGUAAACCAUACCUACAAUGUUAAAAAGACAAGGGAUCAGAACAUCCAUUUCAGUCGAUAAAAGAUAUUGAUUGGUUGAGAUCCGAAAUGAUCCUCAUCCAAAAGAAGAGAGAAAAGAGAGGAAAAAAGGAAACAAAGAGAAUUGAGAAUAAAGAAGAGUGAUAGAUGAGUUGAGUCUUAUCUUACUUUAUGGCUGAAGGAGAGAGUAACUAGAUAUGGGUUUUAAAUAUUCAUUAAUAACUUUUGAGGGGCACGACGAUACGGUGACAUUGAAAAGACCAGAUAAGACUACUCACUCAGGAGAUUUUUGAGUUAUCCAAGUAGUACCGAGUAAUAUUUUUUACCACCUUAGUAUUUUAACUAUUUUAUCUCGGACAGAAAAUACCUAAAUUGCUUUAAAAAGGAUCUUAAAACAUUUAAGUACAACAGAUGACAAUUUCUGUUUGAAAAUUUCCAAAGCUCGGUCAUCUGUCGCAACAAAUGACGUAAUCUGUUUGAUAGCUUACAACAGAUGCUAAUAUGUUGCAAUAGAUUUCCUAAUCUAUUUGAUUUAAUCCAACAAAAAAGACAUCUGUUGCAACAGGUUGAAUUGGUGUGUCGGUAUUCAUGGUGUUUGUAAUGUAAUUUUUAAAAUUUAUGCAUACAUCAAUUGUAAUGUAAUUUUUGUUUUUCUGUUGUUUGUAGGUAAAACAUGUCUCCCAAAAGAAAAGAAAGUGAAAGUGGAUCAACGUUUGACCACUUAAAAAAAGGCUACAGUACAGAGAGAUUCGGAGGAGCUUUUUGAACAAUUUCAGUGAGGAAAAAGUAAAGCUGAGGAGAGAUAUAAAAACAACGUUGAGGGAGGUGGACAAGGGUUUAUAGAUGGUGAUGAAGAAAAUAAAAGUGAAAAAAAAAGAAUUAGAGAGUGAGAAAGAGAAAGAGGAUGAUCAUCAACAUGAUGAUAAUGGAUCACCAAUAGUGCGUGAAUUAAUAUCGACAUCCUAGCAUAAUCCUGUCAAAACUUUUAGUAUUAAUAGGUUUUAAGUUGCGAUGCCGAUAAAUGACCCAAAAGCAAAACUAACUGGUCAAAUUGUACUUAGAUGUUAGAUGGAGAAAAUUUUUGAACAUUUAGGAAAAUUAUGAAGAACGAAAACAUAGACGGAAUUUAUCCCCUUCGAAAGCAGGUAACUAUAUUACCCGGAUGAGGUUUCUUAUCCAAGGAUGUUUAGGUGGUUAGCUGCAAAGAGCAACACCAAUAUUAAGGAGAGUGAUCUUUUUAACCCUCCGGAUGAUGCAGUACGUCUUCUUCAAGUAAAAUAAUUUUACUCAAUGAAAGAUAAUGAACAGAUGUUAUAACUGGUACAACAAAUGUUAUAUUUGAUGCACCAUAUGGGAUAUUUGUUGCGAUAAGUUACCUGUCCUGUGCUAAUCGGUACAAUAGAUGGAUUAUUUGUUGCGACAGACGAUUGAUAUCUUGCAUCACAUUAACCAUUUGUUGCUUUGGUUCUCUGAACCUGACUCCUAACAGAUUAACCAUCUACUGCAAAUUAUGCAAUAGAUGUGUAAUCUGAUGUAGCAUAUUAUUAAUCUGUUGCAUAACAGAUUAUCCGUCUUGUGCAACUGUUGCAACAGAUUGGUAAUAUGUUGUGACAGAUGAUUGAUAUUUUGCAUCAGAUUAUCCCUGUGUUGCUCUAUUUCUCUGAACCCGACUCAAACAGAUUUUAACCAUAUACUGCAAAUUAUGCAAUAGAUGGAUCUUUUUUUUUAAAUGUAACCCAACUGUGAAAAUUAUUAUUUUAUAUGAUUUAAAUGUAUCUAUCUUUUUUUUUCUUUUUUAUAGGUUGUGCAUCCAUAGAUCAUGCCUACUGAGGAGGAGUCGGUGAUGACUUCUUAUAUUACUCCAGGUCAUGUUAAUACUAUAGCAGACCCAACGGUGGAGUUAAUAAAGAAGGAAUUGGCUGGAGCAACAACUAUAAGAAGAACAGUUAGGCAAGGUCAGCCUAAUGUAGAGGCUCUUCAUGACCAAGCCUAAUGUUGAGUCUCUUCAUGUCCAACCUACUAAGGCAGAUCCGGAUGUUUCUUCUGGUGGAGUUAUUGGUGGCAGGCAUAAUGAUGCUACUACCACUCGUGAUGAUGAGCAUGUUGAAAAUAUGUUUGAAAACACCCUUUUUCACCCUUACAUAGGUCCCUCUCACCCCUCUUCACUCUCGUAUUCUCGUUGCGAAUGUGAAGAGUGCAAGCACAUCCAGGAUAAACUCUUUGAAAAAAUAAAGGCUAUCUCUAAAGAUGUCGAGGAAUUCAAAUCCAAGAGGUGUGUCAUACCAUCCAAGAAGGUGAGGGAUCCACAUACUCCUACAGUAUUGGUUAGGAGAAAGAAAAGAGCAAUUAGAGACAUACUCUUCGGUCAAAAAUAAAAAAAAAUUGUAAUUCGUCCCUCUCCAAAAGUUAUUGAAGUUCAGGGGCCAGUAAAGAAGGUAGACAUAUACGCGGAACUUGAUACCGAAAAGAAGAGGGAUCUGCGAUAGGCCAAGAAUACCAAGCCAGGCGCACUAGAUUACCCCAAGCCUCCCUUUCCCCCCAAGACUUCCAGACUAUGACUGAUAUGCGUAUGCCGUACGAGGACAAGGCAAGUUUACUUUUCCUAACCUAGCCUUCUAAUCUACCCCAUGAAGAAGAAGCUAUGGAACAAAUGUGAAAUCUGUUGCAACAGCUGGGUAUACUGGUGUAACUGGUAGUGGUUCUGUUGCAACUUAUUAUCCAUCUGUUGCAUAAGUUGCAUUGGAUUAUUGAUUCAGAGAACCCUAUGCAAUAGAUGGACCAUCUUUAAAAUUACUAACCUAUUUAAAAAUUGUUUUCUUAUAUCACAGUAUGUUGACAAAAUUCUCUACCUCAUGAGGGAAAUGCAAUUAACAUAUCCGAAAGCUUAUGAAGCUGCCGAUAGGAUAAUGGACCUCGACUUCAGCAAGAAGCUCAACGAUAAGUACGAUCAAGUCAAUAGGGAGGCGUCAGCCCUUGGCGUGGGACUUGAUUUCAUAGUUUCUACGUUGGAAUUGGAUGAAGAAGAAAUGAUAAAAUAUGUUAGAGGGGAGAGGCCAAAUCUACACGGCAAGAGCUAGACCGAGACAAAGAGGAUUCUUGCAGUUAUUAGCGUGAACGGCCAUUAUCGGGCUGUUGAGAUACUACUCAAGGAGGGAAAGAUCAAUGUUUAUGACUGGAAUGAACCUCUCGUCGACGAUCUCAAUAUUUUUCUCCUCGUAGAGCCCCUGAUGGAGCUGUUGCCCAUCUUGUUGAAGGAGAGCAAACUGAUGAAUCAUUUGUCAAAGGCAGUGUUGAUGAAGAGCAAUGGGAUUUUGAAGGUCGAAACAAGGACAGAAGCCUUCCAAAAAAUGAGACUGAUAAUGCGUGUGGCUCGCACGCUCUUGCACACAUCGAAUGUUUGCUGACCGGCACAGAAAUGGUUGAGCCAACGACCUUUCUGUGCGACAGCGCUGUAGAUAACCUACAAAAGGUCUGGGCUUAUGGGGUACUAACUGGACGCUUGAAGCCUGUAUAUAUAGAAGGGCCUGUGAAAUAACAAUUUUUAAUUUCAAGUCACCCUUCACUUUAUUACAUGUGCAUGUAGUGGCAAUCAUUUUUUUCUGAUUAAAGUUGAGUUUUUUAUAAUGCAAUAUAUUGUUAAUCUGUUGUAAAAUAUAUUGAAUCUGUUCUGGCAGAUAGUUUAUCUGUUGCAAUAGGUUGGUCAUCUAUUGCAUUAUGUCGAUGUUAUUUCUAUGUAAUCUAAGUCUAAUCUGUUACAACAGUGAGAAGACCUGUUUGAUAAUUUCCAACAGAUGACCUAAAUUUUACAACAUAUGUCUAAAUCUUUUUUAUAUUUUUCAGCAGUUACGCUUGAAUAUCCAUGCAUUCGACAACACCAAACCAGUAGCAAAUACACACACCGCCAUGAAAAAUUCAGCAAUUAGGUUUGAAUAUCCAUGUGUCCAAUAACACCAAACCAAUAGCAAUAACGGCAACAAUGUAGUAUCUUCUUCCUCGAUUUUGUUUCUCUUUAGAAGCCUUGACUUUGUUCAACAAACCCCAGAUUACACGAUUUGCUUGUGAAGGGUGUCGUUCUUCAUAUCAAUCAAAGUAAUCUCAUCCACCCAAUUUCUAUAUAAACUUGAUAAUUUCCAACAGAUGACCUAAAUUUUACAACAUAUGUCUAAAUCUUUUUUAUAUUUUUCAGCAGUUACGCUUGAAUAUCCAUGCAUUCGACAACACCAAACCAGUAGCAAAUACACACACCGCCAUGAAAAAUUCAGCAAUUAGGUUUGAAUAUCCAUGUGUCCAAUAACACCAAACCAAUAGCAAUAACGGCAACAAUGUAGUAUCUUCUUCCUCGAUUUUGUUUCUCUUUAGAAGCCUUGACUUUGUUCAACAAACCCCAGAUUACACGAUUUGCUUGUGAAGGGUGUCGUUCUUCAUAUCAAUCAAAGUAAUCUCAUCCACCCAAUUUCUAUAUAAACAAGAACACAAUUACAAAAUAAUUACAAGUCAAUAAUUAAUCAACUAAUUAAAUAAAAAGAAUAUUACCUUUGAAAUUUUAUAAGUAAAAAACCUACAACCUGAAUUUUAUUGAGUCCAAGAAGUCUUUAACAGAGAUUCAUGACCACUCUUACAAUAUCAAAAAUCUUUAUCACAAAAAACAGUGGAAGAUGCGCUCGACAUUGUCAAGCUCAGUUGAAAAAAAUGAAAAAAAAUAAAGAAAAGAAAGACCAAAUAUAAAUAAUUUGAAUAAUUUAGAUAGAUAAAAGAAGAUGACGAUGAAGAAGAAGAUUUGGGAAUUUAUGAUUAAAAUUAACAUUAUCUACUUGAUGCCUAUUUUAUUUUAGGUGUUUGAAAUGAACACCGUCGAUGGGUUUUGCCUUUUUUAUUUCAAUUCACUUUAACUUUUUUACACAUAGUGGCAAUUUUUUACGUCCAACGAAAGUUAAAUUUUUAUAAUGCAACAGAUUCUCUAUCCUUUGUAAUAGUUAUUCUACCUGUUCUGACAUAUAAUUUAUCUGUUGCAAUAGGUUAGUCAUCUGUUGCAUUAUAUCGAUGUUUCUAUCUAAGUCCAUCUAUUGCAACAGUGGGAUGACUUGUUUGAUAAAUUCCAGCAGAUUACCUACCUGUUGCAAUAUAUGUCUAAAUUUGUUCGAUUUUUUCCAAUAGAUGUGUCGUCUAUUGCAAUAGAUAUAUUAUCUGUUGCAAUAUUUGAAUCUAGUAGUCCUUUUCAAUUAAUAAGUUCAAAACUAAGGAAAAAUAAAAUUCAUAGACAAAAUAAAAUAAAUCGAAGCCUUUAGAAAUUAGCUGAAAUAAGUCAACAAAUAAAUAAAAUAUAAAAAAAAUUGUUAUGGGUACAGAUCUCAACAAAUACAUCAACAACAAUUUAAGUAUGAUGCCAAGGAUUACUUUGACAGGCUUAAGUUAUAAAGAUCUACUCAAUAUGGACAAGUUGUUCUUCAUUCGAUGUUAUAAAAUUUGGCGUUGUUCAUCGUGGAUCUUUAUUGCCGCUUAUGUACUAUUUUUGCGCUUUCUGUUCUACGUAUUUCUAUAAAAAGAGUAUCAUAUUGUCAGUGUUGUUCAGCAGUAGCUUCUACAUCCACCUGGAAAGCCAGAAUUGGUCAAUGCUAAUCACGGAGAUACAAUAAAAUGGAAAAUGAUAAUUCAUCUAUUCUAGCAAAUCAAACAGGUUCUCCUCUUGUUUUAAAUUGUCCCAAACAGAUUAUAUUUCUGUUAUAACAAUGAAUCAACUAUUGGGACAAAUUUCUACAUGAGGAAAACCUAUAUAAUAAUUUCCAAUGGAUGAACCAUCCGUUGCAACAUAUGAAUCAUCUGUUGCAGCAGAUAGGUCGUCUGUUGGUAUAAAUAAAAAUGGUAUGAAGAGCUAUUUGAUUUGCUAAAAUAGAUGAGACGUAAGUCGCAAUAGAUACUUUAUCUGGUGUAACAAGUUAGUCAACUGUUGCAAUAAAUGUAUAUAUCUGUCUGAUAAUUUUUAGCAGAUGUGUCAUUUGUUAAAAUAGAUAUGUGUUUGUUUGUUUGUUAGUUGGAAGACAUAUAUAUUCAUCUUUUUCAGCUCGUGUUGCUCUCCUUUGGACAUUGUACAUUGCUCAGUGCAACACACAGACAAAAGAGUUGCAAUUUCGCUUUUUUGAAUGCUUGAUAAUGCCUUGGAAAUCACUUUCCUUCUUUUCUUAGCCCUAAUCUCUAAUGGAUCGGAUGGAAAUAAAAUUCUCUUUAAUGGAAUGAGACCCCUCUUAGAUGUCAAUUCCUUUACAGAAGCAGUUAAUGCAUUAAUAACAUCAAUCACUACAUCAUGUUUUGCCCUGCAAUCUUGACAUUUGCAUACAGAACAUUCGCUGGGAGAGGCAAAAUCUGUAUAACCAGUAUGAUCAUAAUCAUAAUAGUUUGCUUUAAAUACUGUAAGAAGAGCAUCAUUAGCACCAAUAGCAUCACCAUUACCACCACCAACAGCUCCAUCACCACUAAGACCAUCAACAACAACAAGCCCACCCUCUAAAAUUAUUUUUCUUGUAAUGGUUGUUGCUUCAAACAAUUCCAUUUUUAUUCUGUCUAGGACAUUAGGGUCCGAUAAAGUUUGCACAAACCGUAAAGUAAGAAAAAAUGGCAUCUUUAACUCUCGAUUGGUCGGAACUAGCGACGGAUGCACAAUCUAACAUAAAUCAUUACAUAUAUUAGAAUGAUGAUUAGAUCAUUCAAAAAAAUAUUAAUUAAAAGAAAAAAUUAAUUAUAAUUAUACUUACUGCAUCCUUCGGGGGGUUGAAAAGAUCAAGAAAUUUUGUAUUUUUAUCAGUUUUGGCCGACAACCAUCUCAAGAUUCUUUGACAGGAAACUCCUUCCUGGUAGUUCACUUGUUGUCUCAAAUAAGGAAUGACUUCAAACGCCCAAGCCUAUAAAAUAAUGCCAAUAAAUCAAAGUCAUUAUUGAGUAAAAAAAAUGAAUGAUAUCAUAAUAAAAGAAAGAAACAUUUACCAUGAAAGCCCAUGGGAAGCCAUAUAAGUUGACUAUUUUUGGCGCUAACGGAGUCAAUAAAUAUUUGACAGUCAUUUUGAAGCUUUCAUAACCCCAAGGAUAGCUGUUAAACACCUCAAGAUCCUCGGAGAGCUUUAUUAAAUCGAGGCUUAUGUUGUUGUUAACGUCUCUCGGCCAAAGAAUAUUAUGUACAAAUCAAACCAAGCAUAAUGACUGUUUGUGCUUCUUUGAAAGUCCUUUACCUUUCAAUGCUUCUAUCAAAUUUUUAUUUUUGAAGCUUGGACCAACAAUGGACACCAGGUCAUCACGAUCAGACGACUUGCUUUUGCCCUUUUUAGGUGUGCGGGGUGCUUUUUUAGGUUAGAAUAGGUAUAACUUAAGAGGGAGGAUAAUAUUUUAGUCCAGUAACUAUGGCAAAAUCCUUCCAACCCAAACAAACAAGCAUGCCACAGUAAUUUAUCCAUACCUAAUCCAUCUUAUCUUUGUUUUCAUAUAUAAAUCUACGCUUGAGAAGUUCAUAUACCAUUUUCAUUUGGAAACGAGCAUUGUUGUCCUCCAGCAAAUCAAGAUAUUUCCCAAAGCAGUUGUUCCUGUCCUCCAGCAAAUCAAGAUAUUUUCCAAAGCAGCUGUUCCUAGAAUAAGCAUCCAAUUUUUGCUCUCGAAGUAUUUUUUGAAGGCGGCGAAAGAUUUUCCCAUGACUGACUUAACCACAAAAUCACCUAUUAAAUCUGUGGCACCAUCGUACUGCAUUCUCACAGGAUAACGAUCAAUGCUGAAGGCUUUGACCAACUCUUCAGUGAAAGGGCUAUUAGUAUUUGCAUCAUCUCUUUUGAAACAUUCCUCCUCCCCAUGUUCAUUAUAUUCUGCUCCCGAUUGAGAUAACGCUUGUAAAGCAAGCUCAUAGAGUGGUAGAUGUAGCCUAGCUGCUUUACUUGUUUCUUUACUUGGACUUGAUUCGGUUUCUGUUCUUUUGGGAACCAUAUUAUCUAAAAUUAACAGGAACAUAAAAAAAUAUAUUAUAGUUGAUUAAUUCAUCGUUAAAAGGGAUAACAAUAAAUCAAACAAGCAAAAUAGUAUAAUAACAGUUGCAACAGAUCACCGAUCUGUUGCAACCAGGUAGUAUAUCUAUUGCAGCAUAUAACCAACUUAUUGCAGUGGAUGAGUAAUUUAUUACAACAAUACAAAAUAUAUCACUCGUCUUUUAAGACAAAUGAAUAGUUUGUGCAAUAGAUCACACAUUGUUGCGACAUAUGAGUGAUCUGUUGGAACAGUUAAAUAAUCUGUUGCAACGAAUGAGUAAUCUGUUGCAGUAAUACAAAAUAAAUCACUCAUUUAUUGAGAAAAAUGAAUGGUCUGUGUAGUAGAUCACACAUCCGUUGCAACAUCAUCUAUUGCAACAUAUGAGUGAUCUACUGGAAUAGUUAAAUAACCUGUAGCAACAGUUGAGUAAUCUGUUGAGACAAUACAAAACAUAUCACUCAUCUGUUGAGAAAGAUGAAUGGUCUGUGCAACAGAUCACAUAUCUGUUACAACAUAUGAGUGAUUUGUUGGAACAGUUAAAUAACCCAUAGCAACGACUGAGUAAUCUGUUGCGAUAAUAUAAAACAUAUCACCCAUUUGUAUGAAUGGUCUGUGCAACAGAUCACACAUCUGUUACAACAUAUGAGUGAUCUGCCAGAAUAGUUAACUAACCUACAACAACGGCUGAGUAAUCUGUUACAACAAUACAAAAUAUAUCACUCAUCCAUUGAGAAAGAUAAAUGGUUUGUGUGACAGGUCACACAUUUAUUGUAACACAUGAGUGACUGUUGGAACAGUUAUCAACGGUCAAUAUUGUUUAGAUUUCUUCCAACAUUGGGUCAUCUAUCGCGGUAGAUGAAUGAUCAGUUGAAAAAAUCAUGUCUUGAACAUGUCUUGUUGGAAGAGUUGAUAGGAUUUUAUCCAACAAGAGCUUCAUCUGUUGCAUCAAAUCAUUAAUCAGAUGAUUCUUUUGUUGCAUCAGAUGGUUAAUCAGUUGCAUCAGAUUUUUUAUUUGAUGCUUAAUAUGUUGCAACAUAUGGUUAAUCUGUUGCAUCACAAUUAUAAUAUGAUGUUUCCUCUGGUGCAUCAGAUGGUUUAUCUGUUGCAUUAUAUGAAAAAUCUAUUGCAUCAGAUGGUUAAUAUGUUGCACCAGAUGGAUAAUCUGUUGGAGAAAAUAAAAAAUAGUAGCACGAUUUUGUUCAACAAAAAAAUAGCAAUAUCACCAUUUUCACCAAGAACAAGAACAGAACAAAUUUACCCAAAUUGUUGUUUUAUUUUUAUAAACACAAAUAAUAAAAAUCAAACUUCAAAAAAAUGCAACAAACAACAAAAAAACAUAAUUCACUUCGAAAAGAGAAGAGAAGAAAUACCAUAAAUUAGGGUUUUAUUCAGACCGCAUUUAAAAUUAAUGCAACAAAUAUUAAAAUUGUUAACCAAUACUAUAAUAAAAGUUGGCUCAAGUUCCUCAUUUUUUUUAAAACUAAAAAGGCCAUAAAUUUUUAUCUGUGGAAGAAGAAAAGAAAUAAUGAAGAAUUUAAAACUGUUGUGGCCGGAGAGCAAGGUUGUCAUGUCGUUUAAAGGUUGAAGUCGAAAAGGAACUUGAAGCCCAACUAUUUGUAGUCGGAUAUUGAAGUCGUCGAGGAUUGAAAUGAGAAAUUUCCAGAACAGUUGGUUGGGAGAAAGUUUAGAGAAGUUGUCGAGAGAGGGAUGAGAGACAAGUUGAUUUGAAUUGAAGAGCGGAACUCGAAGCCCAACUAUUUGUCGCCAGAGGUGGAAGUCGUCGGGGGUUGAAGGGAGAAAUUUUGCAGAACUGUCGGUUGAGUGAGAGUUGAGAGUGGUUGAUUUGGAUUGAAGAAGGGUGUGGGUUGGGUUGAUUUGUAUUUUUGAAAAGAUUAAAAAGUUUUGAAAAUAUUAAUCAAGUCCACAAUUAACUUAAUCAAGUUUUCUAAUGAUGUUUGACCCUUUAAGUUGGUCAAUGUCACCAAUCUUUCCUUCAAGACUUAAAAACAACUUUCCUUCAAUUUUCUCAUAUAACAACUUAUUAUACUAAACAUCAAAAACAUAUUUUAUCCAACCCAUCAAAAAUAUACUAAGAUUUUAAGAAAACAGACCUCAACACUACUAAAAAAAAGAGGAAAACCAACCACAAAAAUUGACCACAAGUGAUUUGUUUUCCUCAAAUUUCAACCACAAAACGACCAAAGUGUGUGGUCAGUAAAAUAGUGGUAGCUUUUUAAAAUCCGACCACGUGUGGUCGGUCUUUUUAAUAUAUAUAAUUCAUUAUUAUUUUAUUAAAAUAGAAAAAAAAUGAGUUGUAAAAAAAUCAAAAUAAAUCGACCACAAGUGGUUGGUUUUAUUUUAAAAUUAAUUAAUUGUGGUCGAUUUUAUUUUAACAUUAAUUAAUUAAUUUUAUUAAAACGAUCACGAGUGAUCGAUUUUAUUUACAACAACAACAUACCCAAUGUAUUCCCACCUAGUGGGGUCGAUUUUAUUUAAAUUAAUUAAUUAAUUAAUUUAUAAAAAAAAUGACCACAUAUGAUUGUUCUUUUAUUUGAAUUAAUUAAUUAAUUAAUUUAUAAGAAAACCGACCACGUGUGGUCUGUUUUUUAUAAAUUGAUUAUUUAAUUUAAAUAAAAAAUCGACCACUUGUGGUCGGUUUUUAAUUUAAUAAUGUAUUUAAUGAUUUAUUUAAUAAAAUAUUUUGUAACUAAUUAUAGUAAACCGACCACAUGUGGUCAGUUUUUCUGAUAAUUUUGUAAAAAAAAUAUUGAAAAUUUUCAAAAUACAAACAUUUAAAAUCAAAUUAUUUACAAAAUUAAAAAUCAAAUUAUUUGCAAUAUAGCCCAACAAUCAUUUACAAAGAUUAAAAAUCAAAUCAAAUUAUUUACAAUACAGCCCACCAAUCAUUUCAUAUACAAUCAAACAACCACCAUAAGAAUACAAACAUUAAAAAUUAAAUUAUUUACAAAAUUUAUCGAGGUUUACAAAAGACUAAAAACUACAACUCAUCAUCCGCAUCUUCAUUCUCAGCUUCACCCAUUCUAUUAUCAAUAUUUCGUUGAUAUAUCCAGCUAUAAUCAGGUUCCAUCUACACAAGCAAUCACAUUCAAGUAAUUAGUUCAAAUCACAAAAGUCCUCAUUUCAAAUAUCUAUAGCUAAACAUUUUCAAGUCACUAAUUCACUUCAGAAGUUAUCAAACUAAACUUAAUUCAAAAUGAAAAGUUCACAUUACAAACAUCUACACUUAAACAUUUUGAAGUCACUAAUUCACUUCUCAAGUGACCACACUUUACUAAAAUCAAAACACAAG